rnacentral:lncRNA from 1 species
GUGGUGAGAGCUGCUGCUCUCCAAGUUGGAGAGCAGCAGUUCGAACCCCCACAAUGCAUGUGGGGGUGUUUCCUUCCUCAAAUAAAAUUGAGUGAAGGCAGUCUGCUUCCUUGCCCCAGUGUGAGGAGUAGACAUCCCUCGAAUAUUUGAGAGGGUUAAAAUCUGGGCAGCGCUCCAUUAGAUUUGAUGUAUGUUGGUCCCAGUUAUAGUCUGAUUUGUACAUAUCAGUUAUAUUCUCAUGUAAUAUGAGUUGUAAUCUGAGCAAUAGUCUCAUGUAAUCAAAAAAAAAAAACUUUCUUGUAACGUAUUUCAAAAGGUUAUCAAAUAAAUAAAAGUGUUGUGUUUUCUUUCAAUAUGAGUGGCUAAUUUUACUAAGCUGAGGUGAAGAGUGAAGCUCAAUAUUUCAAACUAUUAAAACUAUUAUUUUCUCAAAUGAGUUUUAAAAUUUAUUUUAUUCUUUUUUAGUUAUUUUUAUGUCAUAUUAAUUUAUAAAUUUUUUUGGAUAUGUAUGGUAUUUUGACAUAAUGUUGACACUUUAAUAUAGUGUGGCACAUUAGGUACUUUAUUCCAUAUUUAUCCACACACAUAAAAUUAAAUGAUAUAAUAAUUAACUGGUAAAAGUGAUGCAAAAUAUAAAUGAGAGAGUAUUAAAAUUAUAGUUUGAAUACAGAGAGUGGAUCCCGAACCUUAGCAUAUUUUUAAAUUGAUUUCAAAUAAUUUCUUUUCCCCACAAUUAAUUUUCUUAGUUUUAAAUUGACUACUAGAUUUAAAAUUCUCUGUGGUUCGACCCCGGAUUCACCGGGUUAAUACAUUUUUAAGUCGUGUCAAGUUUUUGGCGCCGUUGCCGGGGAGUUUUCUAAAUUUGGUGUUAGUUUGUCUUUACUUUAUUUUAUUUUAAUUUUUUUUGUUACUAUCUUUUCGUGAUUCUAUUUUAAUCUCUUUUUCCAAAACUUCAGUUAGCACCCCUCCUCUUUUCAAACUUUAACAUUAUCCAUAAAAUUUGUGAUAAAUUUCAUUUUAGCCCAGAAACCUUUGCAAAUCAAUCCUAAAAUCGAAUUUAUUUCUUUAAAUUUCUGCAAUUUACUUUCCGCAUUUAUUUUAAAUGGUCGGUUCUACUACCUGACUGUUAUUUAAAUUUUGUUAAUUUAUGUAUUUUUGUUUAUAUGGUCGGUUCUACCGCCUAGCAUUUUAAUUUCAGUUUAUUUAUUCUUAUACAUUAAUCUAUUUAAUUUUAUGUUUUAUUAUAUGGCUGGAUUUAAAAUACCGCCUAAAUUGUUUCUUUUAAUUUCUUUAUUUAUGGCUGGUUUCACCGCCUAAUUUAUUUAUUUUAUUUAUUUUCAGUUUAUUUAUUUUUAUUUCGUAUUUUUGCUUAUUUAAUUUCAUGUUUAUUUUUAUUUUCUGUAAUUUUCAUUUAGCGUUUUAUGCCUCAUUGGUUCAGCACACAUCAUUAGCAUUGCAUGCGUCGUUGGUCUCGUACAAAUAGUGGCAGAUUAAUUAGAAGAUCACUUUCACCACCCUUAGAUAUAGCUGAGAUCGGAGCUGAAAAUUUUUCGGAGCACGAAAAUGACCAAGCCUUGUAAAAUCUUCAUGAACAGCCUAGGACCCUUAAAGACUUCAUGCAUCCUACUAGAACAGGAUCACCAUCAUGCAUAGCUUUCCUUCCUGAUGCAUCACGUUUUUAUUUCAAACCUGGUAUCUUUCAAUUUCUUCAUACUUUUUAUGGUUUUGAGUCUGAAAAUUCAUAUUUGCAUUUAAGGGAAUUUGAGGAAGUCUGUAACACAUGUACUGAUCAAAAUUGUAGCAUGAAUAUAAUCAUGCUUAAGUUUUUUCAUUUCUCACUAAAGGAUAAAGCUAAAACUUGGCUACAAAAUCUUAGGUCAGGAUCCAUCAGAACUUGGGAUGUAAUGCAAGCACAAUUUUUGAAAAAAUUCUUCCCACCCCACAGAACUAAUUCUUUCAAAAGACAAAUCACUACAUUCACUUAAAAACUAGGAGAAACCCUCUACCAAUGUUGGGAUAGGUUUAAAGAACUACUUAACAUUUUCCCACACCACAGUUUUGAAACAUAGAGAUUAGUGUCUUAUUUCUACGAGGGAUUAACAUCCCAAGGUAGACAAGUCGUUGAAAUGAUCUAUAAUGGCGAGUUUAGGAAUAAAAGUCCUGAAGAUGCAUUAGACUAUCUUAACUAUAUAGCAGAGAAUGCACAACACUGAGAUACAAUUGGUUCUUAUGAGUCAUCAAGUAAACCCCAGUCAUCUCCAUCUGGUGGAGGCAUGCAUAACCUUUGGGAAGACCAUGAUUUUCAAGCUAAAUUUGUAUCAUUAGCUAGAAAAGUCGAAGCAUUAGAGUUGAAAAAGAAUGAUCAUGUAAAGUAUGUUCAAAAUAUUUCAUGUUAUAUUUGCGAUUCUACUGACCAUUCUAUGCAGGACUGUCCAACUUUGCCAGCAUUGAGAGAAAGUUUGCACGAACAAGUAAAUGUCGUUGACAAUUUCAAAAGGUCAAAUCCAAAUCCAUACUCCCAAACUUACAAUUCUGGUUGGAGAAAUCACCCAAAUUUCAGUUGGAGAAAUUAUAAUCAUGCACAACCUUCACAACCAGUUCCUCCACGUCAAAAUUUCCAAAACCCCCAGAGUUUUCCACUAUAUGUCCCACCACCAAGAAAAACUCUGGAAGACACAUUGCAUUCGUUUAUUGAAAAACAAGAGUCGAUCAAUAACCAAAUGAUGCAAACCUUAACCAAUUUGACAGAAACUAUCUCCAAACUUACAUCUGCUCUGACCAUGCAUGAAAAAGGAAAGUUUCCUGCUCAACCUUAACCAAACCCUAAGAGUCAACAACAUCCUCAAAUGGGAAAUUCAGGAAACCAAAAUAUGAGUCAAGUCAAAUCGGUUAUAACCCUUCGUGGUGGUAAAGUGAUCGAAAAACACAUUGUGGACCCUCGUGAAACUAGUAAAGAUUCAAUUUCAAAAAAUAGGGAAGAGUCUGUCGAACCUUUAACCCAUGAAGAAAUAACCAACUCUCCUCUUGUACUCUCAUUUCUUCACGCACUAAUCAAGCCAAAGAAAUCAAACCGCAGUCUAGAAAUUUAUGAAGUUUUUAAACAAGUAAAGGUCAACAUUCCUUUACUGGAUGUCAUUAAACAGGUGCUUUCUUAUGCUAAAUUUCUGAAAGAUCUGUGCAUGGUGAAAAGGAAACAUAAAGUGCAAAAGAAAGCUUUUCUGGCAGAACAGGUAAGUUCCAUUCUCUCAACCAACAGUGCUUUGAAAUACAAGGAUCCUGGUUGUCCAACUAUUUCUUACACUAUUGGGGAUCAUAAAAUUGGACAUGCUCUACUUGAUCUUGGGGCCAGUGAUAAUUUGCUUCCUUACUCAGUGUACCAACAACUCAAUCUCGGUGAGUUCGAUUAAAGUUCCAAGAGGAAUAAUUGAAGACGUAUUAGUCCAAGUCGAUAAAUUCAUAUAUCCUGUUGAUUUUAAUUUUUUGGAAACGGAACCAAUUGCUAAUGAAUGCAAACAAAUUCCUAUUAUUUUGGGUCGACCAUUUUUAGCUACUGCUAAUGCUUUGAUUAAUUGCAGGAAUGGAUUAAUGAAUUUAUCUUUCGGACAUGACAUUGGAACUCAAUGUGUUUAACAUGUGUAAACAAUCUCACAACCAAGAAGAUGAUAAUAAUGAUAAUGAGGAGAUUGAUCUCAUUGAGCCAAUAAUUGAGGAACACAUUCAGGAUGAGAAUUUUACAAACUCUGUGGAAAUUUGUUUUGUUGGUUCUUUUGAAUCAAGUAAAGAAUUAAAUUGUGAUACUGCUAAUAUAUGUUCUACACUUGAUUCUAUGCAGGUAUUUACAGGUGACGAUGACCAAUCGAACUUUGAAGAUACAGUACAACCUAAAGAACCAAUCAAAGAGGAAGCACCAGAGCUUAAAUUAAAGCCCUUACCAGAAGAAUUGAAGUAUGCCUAUCUUGGAGAGCAGCAGACGUAUCCGGUGGUAAUUUCUUCCCAGCUCACGCAUGAUCAAGAAGGUAAGUUGUUAUAUGUACUAAAAAGACAUAAAACUGCAUUUGGUUGGACCUUAAAAGAUAUAAAAGGCAUUAAUCUUUUAAUUUGCACACACAUAAUACACUUAGAGGAAAAUGCCAAAACAACCCGUCAACCACAAAGAAGACUAAACCCUCAUAUGAAAUAAGUGGUAAAGAAUGAGGUCCUUAAACUACUAGAUGUAAGAAUUAUCUAUCCUAUCUCUGAUAGUAAAUGGGUAAGUCCAAUACAAGUAGUACCAAAGAAAUCUGGAAUAACCGUUGUAAAAAAUGAAAAAGGUGAACCAAUCCCAAUUGAUAAUCUAGAAAAAGUUUUGGAAAAGUGCAAAGAAAAAUGAUUAGUUUUAAAUUGGGAAAAAUGUCAUUUCAUGACCACUUUUGGAAUCGUUUUGGGCCAUGUUGUGUCUUCAAAAGGAAUUGAAGUUGACAAAGCCAAAGUUGAAGUCAUUUCAAAAUUACCCUCACCAACCAAAGUUGAAGUCAUUUCAAAAUUACCAGCAGCAAAGAAAAUUAGAGAAGUCCGUUCCUUUUUAGGACAUGCAGGAUUUUAUAGGGGGUUUAUAAAUGACUUUAGUGUCAAAUCUAGACCACUUUGUAACCUCCUAAUAAAAGACACACCUUUUGAAUGGAUUAAAGAUUGUCAACAAGCUUUUGAAAAAAUAACUACUCUUUUGACAUCAGCCCCAAUAAUGAUUGGUCUUUACCUUUUGAGCUAAUGUGUGAUGUUAGUUAUUAUGCCGUUGGCGCUGUUCUGGGUCAAAGAAAGGAAGGUAAGCCUUUUGUCAUCUAUAAUGCAAGUAGAACUUUGAAUAAUGCUCAAAUGAAUUAAACUACAACUGAGAAAUAACUACUUGCUGUAAUAUUUGCAUUGGAUAAAUUUCAUUCAUAUUUAAUUGGUUCAUCCACUAUUGUUUAUUCUGAUCAUGUUGCUGUGAGAUAUUUAAUGUCAAAACAGGAUGCCAAACCAAGGUUGAUACGAUGGAUUUUGCUACUUCAAGAAUUUAACUUGACAAUCAAGGACAAAAAGGGCGCUGAAAAUGUUAUUGCAGAUCAUCUUUCAAGACUUACGAAUGAGUUUUCAAUUGAAACAACACCCAUCAAUGAUUCUUUCCCUGAUGAAUUUUUAUUUUCUAUAAACAAAAUGCCUUGGUAUGCUAAUAUUGUUAAUUAUCUUGCAACAUGUGAAAUGCCAUGUGACUGGAAUUCUCAGGACAAGAAGAAAUUAUUAACAGAAAUGAAAAGCUUUUACUAGGAUGAUCCAUACCUGUUCAAGUACUACUCUGAUCAAAUUUUUCGAAGAUGCAUACCGGACGACGAGGUAAGUAGGGUCAUUCAAUUUUGUCAUUCUGAAGCAUGUGGUGGCCAUUUUUCUUAAAAAAUGACAGCUGUAAAAAUAUUGCAUUGUGGAUUUUAUUAGGUUACAUUAUUUAAAGAUUCACAUGCAUUCUAUAAAGUGUGUAAGAAUUGCCAAAUUGUAUGGUCUAUUUCAAAGCGAAACAUGAUGUCUUUAAACCUAAUCCUUGUCAUUGAAAUAUUUGAUUGUUGGGAAAUUGAUUUUAUAGGCCAUUUUCCAUCAUCAUUUGGAUUUGUAUACAUUUUAGUUGCUGUUGAUUAUGUUUCAAAAUGGAUCGAGGCGAUUCCUUGUCGGUACAAUGAUCACAAGAUUGUGAUAUGCUUUUUAAAAAAAAUAUAUUUUGAGUAGAUUUGGAAUACCUCGAGCCAUUAUUAGUGAUGGAGGUAAGCAUUUUUGUAAUAAGCUAUUUAAGUCCUUAAUGAAGAAAUAUGGAAUUACACAUCAAGUUGCUACCCCUUAUCAACCUUAAACAAGUGAUCAAGUUGAAUUAGCAAAUAUGGAGAUAAAUAAAUUUUAAAAAAGACAGUUAAUCCAAACCAUAAAGAUUGGUCUCUUCGACUAACUGAUGCACUUUGGGCAUAUCGUACUGCUUUUAAAACAUCUUUAGGAAUGUCACCCUAUCAGCUUGUUUAUGGAAAAUCUUGCCACUUACUAGUUGAACUAGAACAUAAAUCAUUUUGGGCCAUUAAAGCUUUAAUUCAAAUCUUGCCACUUACCAGUUGAACUAGAACAUAAAUCAUUUUGGGCCAUUAAAGCUUUAAUUCAAAUCUUGCCACUUACCAGUUGAACUAGAACAUAAAUCAUUUUGGGCCAUUAAAGCUUUAAUUCAAAUCUUGCCACUUACCAGUUGAACUAGAACAUAAAUCAUUUUGGGCCAUUAAAGCUUUAAUUCAAAUCUUGCCACUUACCAGUUGAACUAGAACAUAAAUCAUUUUGGGCCAUUAAAGCUUUAAUUCAAAUCUUGCCACUUACCAGUUGAACUAGAACAUAAAUCAUUUUGGGCCAUUAAAGCUUUUAAUUCAAAUAUUGAUGAUGUUGGUAAUGUGCGUAAAUUGCAAUUAAAUGAACUUGAGGAAUUAAGGAAUGAUGCAUAUGAGAAUUCCAGAAUUACUAAGGCAAGAACCAAAUUUUUCAGAAAUCAUUUGAAAUUGGUCAAAAAGUGUUGCUUUAUAAUUCUCGUCUUCAUUUAUUUCCAGGGAAGUUAAAGUCAAAGUGGAAUGGUCCAUUUGUUGCAAAAAAAUAUGUAUCCAUAUAGAGCCGUAGAAAUUGAGUAUCCAAAAGAUGAUGUCACAUUUAAAGUUAAUGGUCAAAGAUUGAAACCAUAUCUGGAAUACCAACCACGUGAAGUAGAUACCGAAAUCAAUUUGAGUGACCAACCAAAUUUUAAUUAAGCCUUUUCAUUUUAACUUUUUGCGAAUUUGAUUUACUAUUACUUUAUCGUUUGAAUUGUUUGAUUUUUUUUCCUUCCUUUUCCCUAUGCCUUGAAUGGAGUGCAUUGCAUUGUUUUUAAUUGUGUGUUGUUUGAAAAUUUUGUUGUAGCUCAUCAAAUUUUGAUACUUGUCAUGAGUACCUCCAUGAGAAGUUUCCUUUUCGAACAUCUUAAAGAACUUUUACAUGUAAAAUUUCACUUGAGGAAAUUGCUCAGAUUUUUUGGGAUCUACAACCACCAUAGUUAGUAUCCCACGUCAAAGAUCUAGAAAGACAACUCAAGGAAAUAAAGGAUGGUAUUUAUAAUAUGCAAUUGGAAUUGGAAGUAAAUUCAAUAAAAGGAUGAAGGUGAGUUAUAUUCAUUUUGUGUUUUUGUUUUAUUUUGUUGUUCUUCUUCACUUUUGAUUUGAUUUUGCAGAUUUAAUUCAUUUUGUUUUGAUUCACUCUCCCGUAUAAAUGGCGGAUAACGGUACUCCGUGACUUUUUAAGUCGGUAUUCUCAGUUUCCCAUAAUAACUGAAACCUCAAUGUCAAGCAUGGAAGAAAUACAAUGAAAUUUACAUCAACAUUUUCCCUCUCUCCCUCAAAAUGCUCUUAAGAAAAUUUACAAAGCUCGUUGUGAACGACUGCGUUUGUUAAUGAUCAAUGGGAUUCCUGCUGACAUUCGCUGAUUAAUUGAAGCAAAGGUCCGAUUGGCAGGUAAGUUUUCUGAUCCAUUCAUUUCCUACAUGCCUGGUUUUGGUAAAAGUACAUUUGCUAAGAAAAGAAGAGCUAAGCGACUUGGCUCUGAAUGUUCUCACUGUGUAAGACUUGCUUGCAAAAAGCCACGUUGUAAAACUUUAGGAAUGGUUUCUGUAAAUCGUGAAGAUAAAAUCAAAUUCGUUAAGGAUGGCAUGAGUAAAGAAUCGUUGGAUGAUAUCUUUUGAUCUCUUGAGACGUAUCCGAGCGAAUAUGUGCAACGUGAAAUUCAAAAUUUUUGAAAGCUAUUCCAAAAGGAAAGUGCACAAUUUAAUCUUGGGAAUCUGACUCUAAAAGACCUUGUUUGCCUGUUUAUAAGAAAACUGGAUGUGAAGCCUAUCCUCGACCCAUAGAGGGCGUUCAAGUCGUUACUGGACGUAAAACCAGAGGAAGAUGUGAGCCACAAUCACAACUACCAGUAAAUAUCCUUUUAUUUUACUGUUCUUUUAUCUUUUGCAUUAUUAUUAUUAGUGUGUUUUUUUUUAUAAUAUCUAAUUACUGUUUGCUUUUUCUUCUCACUGUUUUCCUUUGAAUUAUUAAGCUAAAAGCUUCACGUGUCAUUUGACAAACACACCACCCUAUUUACAGAUAUAUAUCAUUAUGUCCGUCACCAAGAUCUUUAAAUAGAAGCUCGUUUUCAAGCACUCACAAAUUGUUUCUUUUUAGAAUUGUUCUAAUGGCAGUAACUUCAAGCAGUCAACUUAAAAAUAUUUGUGUACUUUCUAGAUUUCGCUAUGAAAAGUAUAAGGAGUUCGUUCAGGUAGCCAUAGAUCUUGGUUGUGCUAUAGCAGAGAGGAAACUACAUCUUGUAUAUGGAGGAGGUGACCGGGGGUUAUCAAAGCUUGUCUCUAAAGCUGCUUUCGUUCAAGGAAGCCAAGUGUUAGGCAUCAUUCCAAAAACCUUAAAACCUUUAGGAUGUCUACCAGACCCACCAACUGAAGAAGAGUUAGUUGUCUCAGGUAUGCAAGAAAAGAAUAUUUGAAAUGUUAAAUCAUGUUGACGCUUUCAUUUUCUUGCCAGGAGACCUUGCAACUUUGGAGGCGCUAAUUACAUUUGAUUCUUGGGCCCAUUUGAAUAUCCAUAAAAUGUUAAAUGUUAAUAACUUUUUUGAUGGCUUAAUAACAUUUCUUAAUCAUGCAAUAAAAAAUUAUUUCAUUCCAUCCUCAGCGAAAAAACUCUUCAUUUGUGCUCAUACUGCUAAUGAGUUAUUUGAUCUUUUGCACGCUUACAAACCAGAGCCAGAUCCCAUGACUUUGGCGUUGGAUUGGGCAACUGAUGACGAUGGCAGUAACUCUUGUAAAAAGUGUAAAUUAGAUUUAAUUCUCCAUUUGUAAAUAUUUCCAACAGUGGCCAGGUGAUAUCUUCUAAACUCUACUCCUUUCUUUAGACAUUGAGGACAAUGUUUCCUUCAGGUUGGGGGGAGGGAAUAAUUGAUAAUUGUGGAAUGUCUCAGUCUUGGUGAUGGUUUUACUAAUUUUUGUUGUAAAGACUAACUUUGGAUAAACAUUUUAGUCGAAGAUGGCAAAAUAUAGAAUGUAGUGUCUCUAGAAAUGCAUCUUUUUAAGUUUAGUGUUUUGUUUCCAAAAAAACAAAAUGUCUUCUAACUUUUUGUUUUCUGUCUUUUUCUCUUUUUCUCUUAAUCAUCUCCCUUAAGUUUCUGCAAUCAAUCCUAAUUUUUUAGUGUUUCUUUAACCAAAAGAAAAAAAAAGUUUUCUUUUUCGGUGUGAUCUUUUAACAUUGGAUAACAUGAUGAUUUUCAAAUUUUGGUAUUUGUAUUAUCUUUGGCCUUGAGUUAUGUUACACUAUGUUCUUCCCUUUGCAUGUUGAAACGUAAAUUGAGAAAUUUGAUGAGUGAAAUUGAUUAAGCCAUUUGGAGGAAUGUACAUAUCAUGAAAAGACCAAGUGAGUUUUUUUAGCCUAUUAUCCUUGGAGAAUAACUCUGUUUGCCUAUACAGCUUCACAAUUUAUUGUACAAGAUCUCAAUAUUUUCUUUAAAAAAAAGAAGUAAAAAAAAAAAGAGAAAGUUUGUGCAGCCGCAUCUAAAAGUCCAUUGAACUAUUGGAUAUGAAAGAUUAUUCAAAGCCGUAAAAAAUGACAGAAGGCCAUCUUUGAUCCGUUUGAGCUUUUUUAGUCAACCCUAUUAUAAAGAAUACAUAGUUAACCCCUUUGAGCCUUUGAAAAAAAAAACUUUCUUUGGUAACCUAUCAUCUUUUCCUACUCCAAUGUGGAGUAUCACCUUAUGUUUUAUGUUUUAUGUUUUCCAUCACUCAAUUGUGUUUGAAAAUAAGGAUGAUUAUGUAUUCCUAAUAAUGGUGCUAUAAAAAAAAGAGAUGAUAUGUAUAUAUAAAUAAAUAAAUAAAAUAAAAUAAAAAAGAAAAGAAAAAAGAGCAAAAAAAAAAAGCACCUCGAUACCUCAAAAAAGUCCCCUAUUUUUCAAAACAUAUAUUUUUGUUUUUCAUAUUAUCCUUUUUUUUGUUAGCCAUGACCCUAACCUAUGUUACGUCCUAAUAAAAGUCCUUCUUGAUUUUAGGAAACUAUAGUAUGAAGUAAAACUGGUGAUAUGGACUAAAAGAUGUGGUGAUGCAUAAAAAUACAAAAAUAAAUUUUGCUAGUAAUUCCUUGGACUUGAGAUCAUUUUAUUUCUAAGUUGUGCGCAUUAUUAUUUCAUCUUAAUGAGAGCGUGUGAUAUUGUUUUAUAAUUCUCUCAAAUUUACCAUUUUUUAGAGUGACAAUUUAAUUUGGGGUAUAUCUUCUUUUGAGAGAGUCACUCUUAAUCGUGAGAUUUUGGGGUUUGAUGUAUCAUUCUUAAAAGUGGCUUGAUUAAUGUAGCUCUGAUAAUUGGUCAUUUUUAGGAUUUUACUGAACUGUUUUGUGCGGGUGUGAUUUUCUUUAGGCUGAAGAUAAUGCUUAUACUUUUAUUUGAUUGUUGUCAUUAAUCUGAUGAAAGAAGUAAACUCAAUUUUUCCCACAAAAAAAAAAAAAGAUUUUCAAUUUGGUUUUGAAAUUUGUCUAAAUUUUUAUCGCUUAAAUUGCUAGGGCCUAGCAAUAAGCUGGUUGGGGGUGUGAUUAACACUAAAAAGUGUACGUGUAAUAAGGAUAAAAUUAUUAGUUUUUCACUUAAAGUGUUGAUUAAUGCGCGCAUAACUUAUAAAUUAUAUGAAUGUUCCCCAAACAAUUUUUUGUGUUAAAUUAAUUCGCAAUAUGUUAAUUUUUAUCUUAUAAAUAUUUUUUAGGAAUAAAUUGGAAUUGAAAGCGGGAACAAAGAAGAAUUGCUGGAGCAAUUUGGAAGCAUUAUUGAGGAGAUGUAAAUAAAUAAAAUAAAUAAGAAAUGAAAAUGAAUAAAAAAAUAAAAAAAAUGAAAAAAGAACAAAAGAACAAAAACCAAGCAAUUUGGUUUCUCGUGAUGGUCAAGUGGCCAUGAUGGCCACUUGACCAUUACACAUUCCAAUGUACAUAUAUAUAUAAUAAUAAUAAAAUAAAUAAAGAUAAUGCAUUCCUUGCCUAUAAAAGGGCAAGGAAAUGCAGGGACCGAGGCAUGCAGAAGUGAGAGAGCUGAGCAGAGAGAACUUAAGCCGAGAGAGAAUAGAGUACAACUGAGGAAUUGUGUCUUUUUCUUCCUUAUCUUCUUUUGUUGUGUAAUCAACUUUCUUGUAACGUAUUUCAAAAGUUUAUCAAAAUAAAUAAGAAAUGAAAAUGAAUAAAAAAAUAAAAAAAAUGAAAAAAGAACAAAAGAACAAAAACCAAGCAAUUUGGUUUCUCGUGAUGGUCAAGUGGCCAUGAUGGCCACUUGACCAUUACACAUUCCAAUGUACAUAUAUAUAUAAUAAUAAUAAAAUAAAUAAAGAUAAUGCAUUCCUUGCCUAUAAAAGGGCAAGGAAAUGCAGGGACCGAGGCAUGCAGAAGUGAGAGAGCUGAGCAGAGAGAACUUAAGCCGAGAGAGAAUAGAGUACAACUGAGGAAUUGUGUCUUUUUCUUCCUUAUCUUCUUUUGUUGUGUAAUCAACUUUCUUGUAACGUAUUUCAAAAGUUUAUCAAAUAAAUAGAGUGCUCAAUGUUUCAAACUAUUAAAUCUAUUAUUUUCUCAAAUGAGUUUUAAAGUUUAUUUUAUUCUUUUCUAGUUAUUUUUAUGUCAUAUUAAUUUAUAAAUUUCUUUGGAUCUGUAUAGUAUUUUGACAUAAUGUCGACACAUUAAUAUAGUGUGGCACAUUAGAUACUUUAUUCCAUAUUUAUCCACACACAUAAAAUUAAAUGAUAUAAUAAUUAACUGGUAAAAGUGAGGCCACACACAUAAAAUUAAAUGAAUUUUAAAUUGAUUUCAAAUAAUUUCUUUUCCCCACAAUUAAUUUUCUUAGUUUUAAAUUGACUACUAGAUUUAAAAUUCCUUGUGGUUCGACCCCAGACUCACCGGGUUAUAUUAUAAGUAGACGCUCUUAUACUUGGGAGUAAUACACUUUUAAGUCAUGUCAUUGUACUUGCACUUGAACUCCAUUGAAUGAAAAUGAAACUUUUAAUUUAUCAUAAAAAAUAUUCGUUUAUAAUUUUAUUUUUUGUGUAUAAAUAUUAAAUAUGAAAAAUAUUUCAUUCACAAAUGAAACAUAUCUCCUUCCACUAAGCUAUGAUUUCAUAACUGAAAUAUUAAUGUCGUAAAAUUUUAGAUUGAUCAUUUAUAAAGUCAUGAUAUUUAUAAUUUUAUUUAUUAAAACCAAGAUAUCAUUUAUUCAUUUAAUAAAUUAUAAACAUAAAACAAUUAGAAUAUUUUUUUAAAACUAAAACUUAAAUUAACUUUUAAAAGCCUAGUCUAAUAAUUAAUAAAAUAUAUUAAAAUUUUAAUUUCAAGAUAUUUGUAAAAACAUAACAUUUUAUGUUUAUUUUUCAUUAAAAAAAUUUACUUUGAUACUUCGGGCCACAUGCUAUUGAUGGCCUAUGGGCCGCAUGCUAGCCCACCAAUGAAGCAUGUUUAUUACGUGCCUUUUCGUGUGCCGUGCUUUACCCUAUCUCUAAUUAUGCCGUGCUUUUAGGCCCACGUGUCUAAAAUUCUAAGCCCAGCCCAGCCCAGCCCAGCCCACAUGUGUGCCAUGUCGUGCCAUGCUGUAUGGACAUGUGUCGUGCUUGUGCAGUGCCACGUGCCACUCGGGCCAUUGGCCAUCUUUAUUUGAAACUAAAUACAAAUGAUACUUGUUCUAGCAUAAUGCUCUAUAUAUUUCAUCAUUAAUUAUUGUAUUAUAUAUAUUAUGUGAAGAGAAAUAAGGGAGAGAUUGGCUUAAUAUGUUGCCUCCAAAAAAAAAAAAUUCCUGAUGAGUUAUUAUGUAAUCGUGAUCCAACAAUGUAGUUUAGUCAAAGAAUUACCAAAUGACUAAAUCACUCAUUAAGAUCAAAAAAGAAUUAUUUCAUACAACUUGAAAAAAUCAAUACAUUCUUUAAGGAAAAUUGUCAAAUUUUCCUACUGAAAUCAAUAUAUGCCACUUACCCUCUAUGAGUUUGAUGAUAUCUAAAAACCACCUGGCACAAAAAUGUUUAAAAGAAAAGAGGGAUAAAUCAGUUAUUUUCUUGACAAUUUAUCUUUGGAAUAUAUAAUAUAUAUUUUUAAUAAGAAAAAUGUUUAAAAACUAAAAAAAUACUCAAAUUAAUUUCUAGAAAAAAAGAAAAAUUUAGCAGUAGUCCUCAAAUUGUUCUGUUAAAUUCAUUCAACUAAUGAACUAGUUCACCUUAAUGAACAAGCUUUAUGUCUUAUAUAAACCCCACUAUGCAAUUACAUCACCAAGCUAGCUAUUUAAAUCAUGAUCGUGAUAGCCAAUGGAUAAAUAUACUCCCGAAAACAAUUGAAUCAUUCGAAAUAUAUUUGAAAUUCCUGUUGGGAAAAUAUGCUCUUUAAAAGCAUAUGUGUUUAUUUAAUUGUAAUAAACUAUUUUUCUGAUUAAUAAAAUAAAUGAGGUAUUUUAUUCAAAUAUCUUAAUUGCAUUAAUACUUGUAUUAAAGUCCAUUUAAUCAUAUUAUAUGUAUUUAUGUGAUCACCAUGUGGAUUCACAGAAGACAUAAAUACAAGUUAUCUUAUGAUUAAAUAAAUUUAGUUCACAGUUGAUAAAUAAAGUUGGGCACUUUAUUUAGGUAUAGACUGUAAUAAAUUCAUUGAAUGAUUUGUCUUAAUCAUGUAUGAAUUUAUUGAUGUAGUACGACUACAUUGAACAGGAUCACAUAUGAGAUUUAAUUAACUUUGUAAUAACUAUCAGACUUAUUAAAUUCCUUGUGGUCAAGAUUACCCAGUAUCUUGGUGGGAGCAAUUAUGAGUAUUGGAGUUAUGGAUUAACAAUAUAGAAUUUGUACAACACAUCUCUUGAUGGGUUUUCGGUACUUGAUCAUAGAAUUCUCUGGCCAGAGUGUGUCAACUAUUUAGUAUGUUGAAAAUGAUCAUUAGAGAAAAUCAGUAAGGAUCAAGGAAUAAGAUGUUAUUAAAUUGGUUGGACAGUUGAGAUAUCAAUUUAAUUAACGAUGUGGUACAAAUGAUUGUGCAGUAAAGAAAUCAAUGUGGCUUGGGAUGAAUUGUUAUUCGAGCAUACAAUUAUGGAAGUCAGUUCCAAUCUUUUAGUGGAGUAGAUUUGGAAUUAAAUAUUUGGGCUAGUUUAAUUACAGGCCUAAUUAUUGUAGCCACUAUUGUAUGUUCCCAAAUGAUCCCCGGGUUAGCUCAUUUAAUUGACUGCACCACUACUGGACUAAUAAGUAAGAUAACUAGCUAUUUGGGUCAAAAGCCUAAAUAUAUCAUUUAGUGGGAGGCUCCAUUUAAUUAGCUUUUGUGUAAGGGACCUUAUGUUAUUUUACAAGGUGGGUCCCCUAUAGAAAAAACAAAUAAUGUGAGUUUUGUUUUUUAAUUAUUUAGAGCCUAGGGUUUUCACUAAAGGGUGAUAUAAAAGGCUUAUUUUUCUCUAAAGAAAGAGAGAAGCCUUUUUAUACAGAUCAGAGAAUAAGAUUUUUCUCUCUAUUGUUGAGAGAAAACUUUUCUCGUGCUAGUUGCUUUGGUAGUGAUAAAGGCGCCCACACGUCAAGUGCAGAUCGAACCUGAGUCAUAACCUGGAAGAUCAUUGGUGACAGUUCGUGAUCUAACAAGCGUGGUAGUGACGGAUCGUGAUCUAACAGGAGUGGUGGUGGCAGAUCGUGAUCUAGGAGCCUAAAUCACUUCAGCAGAAAAAGCCAACUCGGAUUUUCAAGGUACGAUUUCUAGAAUACAAAUUCUUAUAUAUUAUAUGAGAGCGAUCUUCAAAAUGUUUUAUAAAAAAUUUAAAAACCUAAUUUUUCCCUAACAAUUCCUCCAUUUGAAAUUUGAUGAAUACUGAAGGUAAGGUAUUUAGUGGGCAAUAAAAAAGAUACAUAUAUGUAUAAGGUUUGGAUAGAAAUGAAAAGAGUGAUGAUACAACCGCAAACUCUUGUACAAACUUAUUUUGUACAAACUGAUUUGGCAUUAAUUCAUUGGUUGAAUGAAAAUAUAAAAUAAUAAAAAUAGAUCAUGUGGACCCAAAGAUAUUUAAUUCAACUAAUUUUAUCAUGCCACAUCAGUUUGUACAAAAUAAAUUUGUACAGGAAUUUAUGGCUAUAUUAUUACUCAAAUGAAAAACAUUACCCACCAAACAUUAACUAUUGUCCCAAAGAAUUUUUACUCAACUUCGGUGAUCGGGUAUAAAAUGAAUUCAUUGGCCAAUUGAACUACGCCCAAGGGGCUUUUGAUUCCACACAACUGUUUGUGAUACAUAGGAAAUAAUAAAUCUUUUCAACUUAAAAUCUUAACACAAAAAUCCCAACAACUCAUGUAAAAUAGAACAUGUAAAUAAUUUAAUCUAGUAAUAGUUAAAAUGAUAUUAUUUUUGCAGUGGCAAUUAUGAUAUAGUUAUUCAUCUACUUAUACACAGAGACAAUUGGUGUCAAGCAUUGAAAAAGCAUAAUUUCGGAGUGAUGCAUUUAUCGGAGUUGUUUAGCCACAUCACAAUUGUCUGCCUAUCUUCUACAGUGUAUUAUCAGCUAAACAAUCUAGGACAAUAUGAAAAUAAUAUUAUUUGAAGCAUAUUUAGGAAACAUUAAUUGACGACAACAAAAAGCCUUGAAGUUUUAGUAAGUAUAGGAGUAGGUGUUAGACUAAUUAGGUAACAAAUUUAAAAAACUUCAAUAUUGGCAAAAUAAUAAUCCAUAUACAUGAUAUAUAGAAGUAAUUAAGGAGCAAAACCCACUAUUCAAGCAUUUGAAUGUUUGCACUUGCUAUUAUGUGUUUAAAAAUUAAAAUCAGUGCAUCUUUUAGUUGGAUCCUUACUUUUUGGAAAGAACCUAAAAUCCAUAAAAUUUUUAAAAAUGUAUCAUUUAUGUAACACCCGAAAAUCAAAUGAGUAAUUAUUAGUGUUAUUUUGAUUGUAUUAUUAUUAUUGAUUUAUUUUCUUACUUGAUUGUUAUUUGUUUACAUCAUUAUUGUUUUUAUUUUUGUUUGUUACUACUAUUAAUAUUAGUAUUAAUAAUGCCUUAGUACUUGAACUUUGUAGUAUGGGCCUAGAAUUAUUGUCAGGCCUAGUUUUGUUUGUUUUAUGUACAGUUUACCCAAGCCCACUAGGAAAAAAACUAAUUAUAAAUAGUAAAAGAAAACGAGAGCUUGCUUGUCCUCCACUCAUAUUGGUCAGCCAUUUAAGGUUGGAUCUUGCCUUUUAUCAUUGAAGUACAAAAAUUAUUGGGUAAUUAUUGAGGUGCCUAACAUAUGCAUUUCUAUGACAUUGAGGUCUAGUGAGUGACUUUCUACUACUAUUAAAAAUGGGAUUUUAAGAUAUAUAAAGUUAUAGGAACUAGUUCCUUAAAGAGAAUGAAGCUUAUAAUUUUACUUGUUUAUGAUGAUGCUGAUAGAAGGUCAAUUUUAAUGUUAGGUUAGGGUCGUUAGUUUACAAGAUUAAGCUUAUUGUAUAACUUCCGAGAGGUAAUAAACUAGACUUUAAACUACGAUCACAACAAACAUAUACAUUUGUGUAUCACUUUGUCCAUUUGCACAGCCAAUGCAUGAAUGACCUUUCAUUAAUACUAAUGCUGCAAUGAUCUAUGGGAAAAAUAAUUGGUCAAGCUCUAUAUAGCUGUUUUUUCGGUGUAUUAAACUAUCUGGUAUCCGAAAACCACAUUGGGGCCCAACUAGUGGUCCUACCCGGCUCGUUUUUUUUUUCCUAUUGUACUUGAGUUUCCAUUCUUAAUAAAGCAAUGUUUUAUACAUUUUACCAUGAGUUGGUUUCUUCACCACAAGUUGGUUAUUGAGUGUUCAUUCAUUUAUAUCGUUAUUAAGGGUUGCAAGACAUUUUAGGAGAUGCAAUCAUUUUUAAAAAAUAUUAUAGUUUAUAAUUUCAUGGUUUUCUUAUUUUUUGUAUUUAGUUUUACGUGAACAUUUCCUUUAUCAAUUUAAGGUAUCUACUGUAUGUGUAAGAUUUUUGGUUUUGCUCGAUAGCUAGUGAUGGCGAAUAUUUUGUGUUUGCCAGAUGCUGCUGGCUGUGAUUAGGGGUGAUAUGUUGGAUAUUGCUAGGUGUUAGUUAUUUACUUUUAGCAUAUCAGUGAUAUGGUUUGAUUACCAAUUUAUUUGGCGUAAUGGAUCAUCAGUUUAUGUACUUUUAACCUUUUUUUUUCUUAGCACAUAAUAUGUAUUUUGGUACUUUAAUUUUAGGUUCUAGUUGAUUGUUGAAUUUGGCAGAACUAUUUGAGAACAAUGUAAUAAUUUGCUAGAAUAUUCAUUCAAUGGUCAUAUAUUUAUAUUAGAUUGCAUUUGCAAAUUUUUUAUUUUUUUAUUUUUUAAUUUUCUCAAAUAAAUGUUGACACCAUGGUGUUAGUCUUUUGAUGGUUCUAUUGUAAUAGAUUUUUUUUUUUAAUUCCAUAGUAUGAUUAUUCUUAUGAUUAUGUUGUAUUAAAAUUUGUCUCAUAGUAUAUUGAUUGAAUCCACGAACACCAAAGACAUUGACACUAAUUUAUAGUGUCAAUAUUUACUGAAUACAAAUUUUAUGAUACUAAAACUCGGUGUUAAUGAAACAUAUCACUGACACUAUUUAAAUAUCUCUAAAGGUCAUUUUUCUUUGUACUAGUGCUUGAAAUUUUACAUCUGAUGGUGUUGAUUAUAAUUUUACAUCUGAUGGUAUUGAUUAUAAUGUUGGAUCAUAAACUUGAUCCAAGAUGAAUAAAUUCAAGCCCAAAUACAUAGAAACUUCUUGUGGUAGGUGUGGUUGGUGAAGUAGGUGAGUGGUAGGUUUUAAUGAAUGGUGAGAAUUUAUGUAGUAGUUGAAUAAAUGAAUGGUUGUGAUUAGUUUAUUUCAUAUAUAAAUACCCCCUCUUCCCUUUGGUUUAAUCAUCAAGUGAAGUAACAAAAAUCUCUAAGGAGUAGAGAGUGAAAAAUAAGAGUUGUAGUUGGUGAGGAGUGUUGUUGAAGAAAUAAAAUAGUGUAUUUUUUUAGUGUUUAAUUUGUUGAUUCUCCAACAAAGUGGUAUUAGAGCUAGUGUUCGAUGCUAUAUAUAGUCAUGUAGCAUAUCAAAUCGAAGAUCUCGACGAGAGGAACGCGACACCGUAAAAAUUAGCCUGAUCGGGAGCUGAAAUCACCCACACUCGCCGCCAGAAGUUUUAUGUCCUGAAGCUGAGUCGAUUCACUGAGUUGAACCAAGCUGAACCGAACUGAACCAAGUCAACUACACUGUCAUUGACCAUUGACCGACAUUGACCGUUGAUCAAAAGUUGACUCGAGUCCCUCCCAAGAUUUUUCGACCUGUCGGAUCCAUCCAUGCAUUCAGAAUCUCAAAUUUCUCACUCAAUUUGUCAGUUAUGGCAAAUGGUGGUAUGAUGUCAUUUCAAGUUCCACAAUUAAAUGGAAAUAAGUUUAACAAUUAGAGUAUUAAAAUAAAGGCUCUAUUGGGUGCACAUGACGUAUGUGAUGUCAUGGAAAAAAGCUUUAUUGUGCCAGAAAAUGAAGUCACUUUAACUACGGCGCAGAAGGAGAAUUUAAAAGACUUGAAGAAGAAAGAGAAUAAAAUAAAGUAUAUCAUCUUUCAAUCAUUAGAUGAAGAUGUUUUUGAAAAGAUUGCCGGCACAACCUCCUCAAAAGAAGCAUGGGAGAAACUAGAGACUUCUUACAAAGGAGCAGAGCAAGUUAAGAAGGUUAGUCUCCAAACAUUACGAGGAGAAUUUGAGUCCUUACACAUGAAGGCAUCGGAGUCAAUUUUUGACUACUUUACUCGGGUUGUGACUGUUUCCAAUGAAUUAAAAAGAAAUGGCAAGGAGUUAAAAGAGGUAAGGAUCAUUGAGAAGAUAUUUCGAUUAGUAGACUCGAAGUUUGACCAUAUUGUUGUGACAAUUGAGGAAACAAAAGAUCUGGAGGAUAUGACGAUCGAGCAACUUCAAGAAAUGUUGCAAGCCUAUGAAGAAAAACUAAAAAAGAAGUAAGGAAUCGAAGAAUAAUUUCUCAAGAUGGAAGUCAAUCCAAAGAAAAGAGAAGAAAGCUCCAACAAUAAGAGAAGACAUUAAGUUCGAGGUAGAGAUCGUGGUCAUGGACGAGGUUGGAAUUUCAACAACAACAACUCCAAUUAUGCCAAAGGAGAAAGCUUAACCAUAGGAUGAGGUAGAGGCAAUCUAAGAUCGAGGUAUAACAAAUCCUAAGUACAAUGCUAUAAUUGUCAAAAGUUUGGGCAUUAUACUUCAGAAUGUAGAGCUCCAAGUACCAAAAUUGAUGAGAGAGUGAAUUAUGUUGAAGAGAAAAAUGGUGAAGAUGGCGCCUUUUUACUAGCACGCAAUGACACAAGUGGAGGUCAAGAAAAUACAUGGUAUUUUGACACAGGUGCUAACAAUCAUAUGAGCAGAAACAAAAGCAUGUUCAUGGAACUAAAUGAAUCUGUGAAUAGAAGUGUCGCUUUUGGAGAUGAUUCAAAAGCACCAGUGAAGGGUAGAGGUAACAUUCUUUUUCGUGCGAAAGAUGGUAGAUACCAAAUAAUUUUGAAUGUUUACUAUGUGUCCAAUAUGAAAAGCAACAUCCUUAGUUUGGGUCAACUCUUGGAAAAAGGCUAUGAUAUUCACUUAAAAGAUUGUAGUCUUUUCCUAAGAGAUGACAAAUGAAAUCUAAUUACAAAGGUAAAAAUGUCGAAGAAUAUAAUAUUUCCUUUAAAUAUUCAAAAUGAUGUUGCAAAAUAUCUUAAAGCUUACCAUACAUCAAUCACCUUGAUCAACUUUGUGAAGAAUGUUUACUUGGCAAGCAGUUCAGAAAUAGCUUUCCAAAUGAGUCAAACUCAAGAGCUCAGAAGCUACUCGAGCUCAUUCAUACUGACGUGUGCGGUUCAUUCAAGCCAAUCUCCCUUGGAAAAAGUAACUACCUCUUUCUCUUUAUAGAUGAUUUUUAAAGAAAAACUUGGGUAUAUUUUUUGAAGCAGAAAUCAGAAAUCUUCGAAGCUUUCAAGAAAUUUAAAGCUGCAGUGGAAAUAGAAAGUGGAUACCAAAUUAAAGCCAUGAGAUCUUAUCGAGGUGGAGAGUUCACUUCCAAAGAAUUCGUAGAGUUUUGUGAAGCAAAUGGAAUUCGACCCCCUUUGACAGUUCCAAGAUCCCCCCAACAAAAUGGUGUUGUAGAAAGAAAGAACAGAAUCAUCCUCGACAUGGCAAGAAGCAUGCUUAAGAGUAAGAGGCUACCUAAAGAAUUUUGGGCUGAAGUAGUUGCAUGUGCAAUCUACUUAUCCAAUCAAUCUCCAACAAGAAGCGUGUGGGGCAAGACAUUAUAAGAAGCUUGGAGUGAAAGAAAGCCCGGCAUCACCCAUCUAAGAGUUUUCGGAAGCAUUGCCCAGAUACAUGUACCAGACGAAAGUAGAGCCAUGCUGGAUGACAAAAGUGAGAAGUUCAUUUUCAUCGGCUAUGACAACAACUCCAAAGGAUAUAAACUUUACAAUUCAAACAACGGGAAGAUCGUGAUAAGUCGAGAUAUAAUUUUUUAUGAAGAAAGAGAAUGAGAUUUUGGCUCUAGUGUGGAUGACUUCAACUUGUUUCCCAUUGAAGAAGAUGAUCAUACACAUAUAAAACAAGUAGAAGAACAAUAAGAGACAGCUACUCCAUCUAUCUCACCAGCAUCAACCACAUUUGGAGAUUCACCGCUAUUUUUCUUAAAAGAAAGAACCGAAGAACGUAAAAGGAGUCUUCAAGAUCUCUAUGAGGUAACUGAGAGACAUGAUAAUCUCACUCUCUUUUUUCUCUUUGCUGAUUGUGAGCUAGCCAACUUCCAAGGAGCUGCACUAGAUGAGAAGUGGAGAAUUGCAAUGGAUAAAGAAAUCAAAGCCAUUGUAAAGAAUGAUACUUGGGAGCUUACUACUCUUCCUAAAUGUCACAAGGUGAUCGAUGUCAAAUGGGAGUAUAAAAUGAAAAGAAAUGCAAAAGGAGAAAUUGAAACGCACAAGGCGAGGCUAGUUGCAAAAGGCUAUAGUCAAAAGGCUGGCAUAGACUACGACGAGGUAUUUUCUCCUGUAGCUCAACUUGAAACUAUUAGACUUAUUAUUUCUUUGGCUGCUCAGAACAAAUGGAAGAUUUUUCAAAUAGAUGUAAAGUCUGCUUUCUUGAAUGAAUUCCUUGAAGAAGUUUACAUCGAACAACCAUUAGGUUAUGUGGUGAAAGAACAUAAAGAUAAAGUUUUGAGAUUGAAGAAAGCUUUUUAUGGGUUAAAGCAAGCACUAAGGGCAUGGAAUAGCAGAAUUGACAAGUAUUUUCAAGAGAACGACUUCACCAAAUGCCCAUAUGAACAUGCUCUCUACGUCAAAGAAAAAGAUGAAGACAUUUUAAUUGUGUGCUUGUAUGUGGAUGAUCUCAUCUUCACUGGAAGUGAUCCAAGCUUAUUUGAAGAGCUCAAGAGAGUGAUGAUCAAAGAGUUUGAGAUGACUAACAUCGGACUGAUGACAUAUUACCUCGGCAUUGAAGUCAAACAAAAGGAAGAAUGCAUAUUUAUCUCCCAAGAAAGCGAUGCAAAGGAGAUUCUCAAAAGGUUCAAGAUGAAUGAUUGCAAGCCUAUAAGCACGCCAGUGGAAUGCGGAGUCAAGUUAUCUAAACAUGAUGAAGUCGAAGAUAUAGAUCCAACAUUCUUUAAACGUUUGGUUGGAAGCCUGCAUUAUUUGACAUGCACAAGACCAAAUAUACUUUAUGAUGUUGGACUUGUGAGUCGAUACAUGGAGAAUCCAAAGACCACUCAUUUAAAGCUGCAAAAAGAAUCCUUCACUACAUCAAAGGUACAAUUAAUUUCAGCUUGUUAUACUCAAAGGUACAAUUAAUUUUGGCUUGUUAUACUAAUUUUCUAAUGAUUACAAGCUUGUUGGAUAUAGUGAUAACGAUUGGGGUGGAGAUGUAAAUGAUCAAAAGAGCACCUCAGGAUUUGUGUUCUUCAUGGGAGAUACUGCUUUCAAAUGGAUGUCAAAGAAGCAACCAAUUGUCACGCUAUCCACCUGUGAAGCUGAGUAUGUAGCUGCCACAUCAAGUGUUUGUCAUGCAAUUUGACUCAGAAAUUUGCUGAAGGAGUUGGGUUUGCCACAAGAAGAGCCAAGCGAGAUUUAUGUUGAUAACAAAUCAGCAAUUGCCCUAUCCAAGAAUCCAGUCUUUCAUUAUCAAAGCAAACAUAUAGAUACUCGUUAUCUUUUCAUAAAAGAGCGUAUUGCAAGAAAAGAAGUGUAAAUUAAGUAUGUAAAAUCACAAGAUCAAGCAGCUGAUAUCUUCACAAAGGCACUAAAGCAAAAAGACUUCGUAAAAUUCAGAAGUUUGCUUGGUGUCACAGGAUCAAGUUUAAAGGGGGUGUUGGAUCAUAAACUUGAUCUAAGAUGAAUAAAUUCAAGCCCAAAUAUAUAGAAGCUUCUUGUGGUAAGUGUGGUUGGUGAAGUAGGUGAGUGGUAGGCUUUAAUGAAUGGUGAGAAUUUAUAUAGUAGUUGAAUAAAUGAAUGGUUGUGAUUAGUUUGUUUCAUGUAUAAAUACCCCCUCUCCCCUUUGGUUUAAGCAUCAAGUGAAGUAACAAAAAUCUCUAAAGUGUAGAGAGUGAAAAAUAAGAGUUGUAGUUGGUGAGCAGUGUUGUUGAAGAAAUAAAAUAGUGUGUUUUUUUAGUGUUUAAUUUGUUGAUUCUCCAACAUAUAAUGCCUUUUAGCCACUACCCAUCAGCGACAAUAUCAUAUUGACCUACAACUUUUAGAAGACAUGUUGCCUACAUUAUGUUGUUAUUUGCCAAUAAAAAUCUUACUAUCGUGUUGAUCUAAUCUUGCAGCCACUAACCCUCACCAGCAAUAUUGAUAGAGCCAUUAGUGGUGUUGAUGAUGUCACGACACCUUGUUUUCAAAUUUUUUUUAUACUAUUAAUAAUUGAAUUUUAGUAAUAAUAUAUUUUUUUAUUUACUAAUAGCUUAAUAAUUAAUUGAAUGCAUUUUAAAAAUUGUCUAUUUAAGCAAAAAAAAUUCAACAGUAUUUUGAGACAAAAUAAUAAAUACUCUUGAUGUAUAUACGGUCUCUAGUUGAAUUCUUGACUCAUGUUUUCUCAUGACAAAAGUUCAAUAAAUAAAUUAAUCCUAAACUAAAAUAAUAACAAAAAAAUCAUCAAAUUAAUCUUAAAACUAAAAUACAAACAAAAAAAUUGAUACUAUUUUAUUUUUACUUUACUUUUAAGGUUAAUUUGAUAAGUUCACAUUUUUUUUCUUUUCUUUAAUAUCUCUAAGAAUAUUAUUGCAAGGGUUUUAUUGGAAAUGUAAAAAAAAAAUGAUAAGGUAAGAGUCUAAUAUAAUUAGCAAGUGUGUCUUGAUGUAUUUUUUAAAAUAUAAGACAAAACAGGCACUUAAAUCAUAAUAUAAGAAUUAAAUAAGCAUUUUUUCCUUCUUAAAAUUUACGUAUCACUUAAAUUAUUCUAGAUUCAAAUCUCUUUUAUUCAUGCAUGUUUGGUUAGAAGAAAUGAGAAAAAAGGAGAGGAAUGGAAAGGGAAAAGAGGGAGAGAAAAUGAAGGAAAAAGAAGAUCAAUCUCAAUUUUAUUAUUUGAUUUGCCAUAAAAUUAAUUUCUUUUCCCUUAUUCCUUUCCCCUCUUCUCCGAUUCUUUUCUCUCUUCUUUCAUUUCUUCAAGUCUUAACUGGUCAGUUAUACCCUUAUAAUUCACAUUAAUGGUUUAAAGCUCAUUUUAUCAAAGUUUCUUAGUUAUUAUUUUUUUUACAACGUUAAAAGUUAAACUGUUUGCUCAAUAAUUACAAUAGAUUUAACACCACAAAACUUGAAUGUUUUCACAUUAUUUAUCACUUUUAUUACACACAUAAGUCCCCCACUUUGAUUUUUUUUUCUUUUUUUUCACUUUCAACCUAAUAUUCUUACAUUAGUGUACAAUCUAUUCACUUUCAAGAUCCUUUAUCUACAAUUAAUAUGCUGAAAUUCACCCAAGUCAAUAAGAAUCUAAAGAUUUUGGUGAUUCAAGAGAUGAUGAUAUCGGGCAUGAUGAGGCGCAAAAUCAUUGGAAGAUAGGUGUUCACCAAAGCCUUGUCGAAGACAAAGAACCAAGUGAAUCGGAACCAAAAGCUAUUGAAUUUCAACGUAAAAGAUCCAAAAGAGUAAGGAAACUAAUGCAAUGGUUGCAGAAGAAGAAGAAAAAUAAAACAACUUGAGAUGUUUGAAGAAGCAACAGAGAAUUCUAAUUGGAAGAAGGCAAUGGAAGAAGAAAUUGCCGCACUGAAGAAAAAUUAGAUAUGAGAUCUUGCUCCAAAACCAAUAUCUUGUAAAUGGGUGUGCAAGAUUAAAAAGUGCCCAGAUGGUUCAGUUGAAAGGUAAAAGGCUUGGAUGAGAACUCGAGGAUUCUUACAAUAAUACAGGCUAGACUAUGAUGAAAAAUUUUAUCCAGUGGCAAAGCCCACAACAAUAAGAGUCCUACUUGCACUCGCAACUAGCAAGGAUUGGAAAUUGUAGCAGAAAGAUGUAAAUGGAGAAUUAGAUAGAGAGAUCUCUAUGAAUCGACCGAGAGGAUUUAAGAAUAAAGCUCAUCUGAAGUAUGUAUGCAAGCUGAAAAAGACACUUUAUAGUUUAAAGCAAGCACAAGGGCAUGGUAUGAUAAGAUUGUUGAAUUUCUAACUCAUAGUGAUUAUUUAGUGGCAUAUGUAGAUUCUAGCUUAUUUGUCAAAGUUAAUGAAGCAAAGUUAGCAAUUGUACUAGUGUAUGUGGACGAUUUGAUUUUUACUGGUGACGAUGAAGAAGAGAUUCAAUGAAUAAAAAAGAACUUAUUAGUUCAUUUUUAAAUGAAAAUGCUUGGUUAGCUUAAGCACUUCCUUAGUCCAGAGGUUGAUUGAAUAGAACAGGGUAUAUUUCUUUGCCAAUUGAAAUAUCCCAAAAACUUGUUGAAGAAGUUUGGAAUGCUGGAAUGUAAGCCAAUCUCAACUGUAAUGAAAGUCAAUGCAGAAUUGUACACACAUGAAGGCAAAAAUUUAGAAGAAGAAACGAUGUAUCGACAAUUAGUAGGAAGUUUAAUCAAUCUAAUGUUGACUCGACCAAACUUUCAUAUGCAGUGGGUGGAAUCAGUUGGUACAUGCAAAAUCUGAAGAAGCCUCACUUGGAAAUGGCUUGACGAAUACUAAGAUAUAUGAAAAGUACAAUUGACUAUGGUCUAUUAUACAAGAAAGAUGAAGGUUACAAGCUGAUUGGCUAUUGUGACAAUGAUUAUGCCGGAGAUCAUGAUACAAGAAGAUAAACUAUGUUUUCAAAAUUGGAUCUAGAAUAGUUUCAUGGUGUAAUAAGAGAUAACCAACUAUCACUAUUAACCAUUGAAGUGGAGUAUAAAGCAGCAACGACAACAAUUCAAGAAAGCACUUGGUUGAUGCAGUUGAUGAAGGAUUUAUAACAACAGUAGAUUAUGUAGUACCAUUAUACUGCAAUAAUCAAUCAGUGAUUAGCAUGGUAAAAAAUCUAGUUUUUCAUGCAAGAACUAAGCAUGUGGAGGUGCAUUAUCACUUCAUCAGGGAAAAGGUCGUACAAGAUGAAGAUGAAAUGCGCUACAUCAAGACGAAUGAUCAAGUUGUGGAUUUUUACAAAAAUAUCCUGGUAUCGAAAAGUUAAGAGAGUUCUGCUAAUAGCUCAAUAUGGAUCGAAAAAUGAAAGCUGGUGUUGAGGGGGAGUGUUAAAAGUCCAACACCAAUUUCAUGAUCCAAUCCAAUUACAUUUGUCCAAGCCCAAUCCAUGGAAGCUUCAAGAGUCAUGUAGAGAAUGAGAGAAAUUUCUAAAGCUAAAACUAUCUAAUAGCUUUGAAAAUAUGUAAAGUCUAGAUAUUUCUUGAAUAUUUGAAGAUAUUAACAAAACGUGGUUGUUCAAUUUUUGUAAUUUAAUAUUUGUGUAGUUUGUAUUAGUUCUAAGAUUCUAUUAAUAUUUUAAGCUCCUUGUUGUAGGCAUUAAGUGAAGACUAAAGAAUCAUAAAAGAGAGAAAGAAGAGUGAGUCGUGAAUGUUGCAGUGUCCUUUCUGUAAAAUAUCAAUAAAGUACUUUAGUUUAGUAAAAUUCUUCUAUUGCCUAUAUAAUUUUGGUUUUGAGCGGUUUAGUCCUCUUCGUUUUGUCAACAGAAACAACCUUUAAUGCCAUAAUAUUUUUCCUACUAGCAAAAAUAUGAAUUUUUUAAUUUCUAAAUUUCUUUCAACAAACAACUAGGACUCAAGAAAAAAUAACCUGAAAAUCAUCAUAGUAUAUUUAGUCUAAAUCAAAAUCACCUUUUUUUUGUUCGCUUAUUUUUAAUUUUCAUUUUUAAAAGAUAAAUAUAUGGGUAAAGGUAAAUCAAUUUUUUAAAUUUCUACAGUAAAAUCUGUAUAAUUCAAUAGACGACAAAUUUAUAAUAUUUAUCAGUAAAAUCUCGCUUAAUUAAUACUUGAUAAAUUGAUAACUUUGACUAAAUAAUAGCUUUUGUCGGUCUCGACUUGGGUAACAUGGUAAAUUAAUAAUGUGAUAAAUUUAUUAGAUAAUAAAAUUUAAAAAAAAAAUAAUUUUUUGCAAGAUCCAAUUAACGCAUAAAUUAAUAAUUAAUUAAUUUGAAACUAAAUAUAUAUAAUAUGUCUAUGAUUUUCUUUGUUGUAUUAGCAUAAUUCUUUAUCUAUUUGAUUGGUCAUUGUUGUAUCUAUAUGCUAUGUUAGGAGAAAUAAGAGAGAGGCUGGCUUAAUAUGCUACCUCUAAAAUGCCUUUUCAGAUGAGUUACUAUAUAAUUGUGAUCUAGCCAAUGUAAUUCAGUUAAAGAAUUAUCAAAUGUCUAAAUCACUUAAUGAAUAUCAAAUUAGAAUUGUAUCAUAUAACUUGACAAAAUAACUGCAUUCUUUAGGGGAGAUUGCCAAUUUCUCAUACUGAAAUCAAUAUAGACUACUUACCCACUAUGAGUUUGACAAUAUCCAAAAACUGUACGACACAAAAAAAUUAAAAAAAAAAGAUAAAUCAGUCAUUUUCUCGAUAAUUUAUCUUUUAAAUAUAUUAAAUAUAGGAUGGUUGCGUGAGAUGAGUAGAUACCUUUUGGAGGCCAUAAUUUGGUCUUGAAGUACCUAUUUUGGGCUAUAAUAUACUGUUUUGAAGCUUGCAAUGAGGAAAAUGAAACCUAGAAUGACUUUUGCCAAUCUUUCCACGAUUGAGCUGAAAAAUUUUGCUUUUUGCUUGUUCGUUUUUUAGUUUUAAGAUAUUUUUCAUUUUUCCUGUUUCUUUUAGGAUUUUUAUCGUUUUUCCUAUAUGUUGGAUUUGAAUGUCGUUUGUUUUUUUUUUUAUAUAUUUAGAAUAGGAGAAUUUUAUUAUAAAAGAUAUUUUGGAUUUGCCUAUUUUGGUAAAUUUACGAUAUUUAGGAUUAUUAUAUAAAGGGGCCCAAAAAUCUAAAUUUUGUUAAUUCAAAAUUUCUCAAUAAAACUUUUAUAUUCAGAAACGUUUUUACAUACUAACGAAGUAGAAUUGAUAUGGUAGGAAAACACUAGAUAUCGUUCUAGUACCAAGUUUAUGAAUUAGCUUACACUCUAAUCAAAGUGUAAUUAGAUCUCGUUCUAAUCUAAACAACUCAAUAAGAUUUUUAGUAACUCGUUAUGCGAGAUUAGAUGACACUCUAAUAUAAACAACUCUAUAAGAGAGAUUUUGAUGGAUAAUCACAAAGGGAAUUUUGAAGACAGUUUUAUUGAAUACUUGUAACUAUAGUCCUAAAAAUAAUAACAAGACUUCUCUAUAUAUAAUAGAGUAAGUUUACUUUAAAAGGAAACUAAAUCACAAUUAUAAUAGAGAUAAAAGACUAAGAUACUAACUUUAAUUAAUAUAAACUUGAAACUUAUGUAGUGCAUAUUUUUUUGUCUAAAAAUUAAAUAGAUCUAAAUUUGACCGAAUUUUGAAUAUGAAUGCAUAAUUUUGAAUGAUAGGUUCAUUUUUCAUUUUUCAAUAUUAAAUUAAAAAUGUUAUGUUGUUUGUUUUAGGAAAAUUAUCCACCAACCACUUGUUUUUUCACCGUUUUUCAAAAAUACACAAAUCUUUUUUUUUUUUGCAGCGCUCCACCUGAAGUUAACAUUUUUUUCAUUGGUCCACCACCGUUAUAACACCGUUUGAACUUUGCUGACAUCAUAAGGGUAAAAUUGUCAUUUCACAAUGACAUAGUGGUGGUCAAAUGCAAAACAAUAUAACUUCAAGUGGAGUUCAGCAAAAUUUUUUUUUAAAUUGUGUAUUUUUGAAAAAAUAAGAAAAAAACAAAUGGUCGGUGGAUAAUUUAUCUUUUACCUUGAGGGUAAAAAAGUUAUUUAAACAAUAUUCCAUUAGUUUUCUUAACGGUCUCCAAAUAAAAGUGGACAAGUAAAAAGAAAUGUAACUUCAGGUGGAUUCGAGAAAAAAAAAUGAAUUGUGUAUUUUUGAAAAAGCUCGAAAAAAAGGUGGUCGGUAGAUAAUUUCCCUUUAUUUUAUAAUAAACAAAUUAAAAUAUACGAAAAUCAAUUUUUGAACAUAAGUGUAACAUGUCCUUUAAAUUUUUAAACACUUUCUUAUUUAUUUAUUUAAGAAACCUCGAUGGUAUAAGAUAAAGAAAAUGACAAUUAUCCACCGACCACCUAUUUUUUCGCACUUUUUUAAAAAUACAUAAUUCUUAAUUUUUUUUGCUGAACUCCACUCGAAGUUAUAUUAUUUUGCACUUGUCCACUUCCGUCUUCAAACUAUUAAGAGAACUAAUAGAAUAUUGUAUAAAUGAUUUUUUUACCCCCAAAUGUAAAAGAGCAAUUAUCCACCGGCCACCUUUUUUUUAUGUAUUUUUUGAAAAAUACACAAUUUCUAAUUUUUUUUUUACUGAACUCCACUUAAAGUUAUAUUGUUUUGCACCUGUCCACUUCUGUCUUCAAACAAUGUCAUUGUGAAGUGACAAUUUUACCCUUAUGAUGUCAGACCAGUGAAAAACAUGUUAACUUCAGGUGGAGCGCUGCCUAAAAAAAAUAUUUAUAUAUUUUUGAAAAAGAUAGAAAAUAUUGGUGGUUAGUGGAUAAUUACCCCAAAGAAAAUUACAUCCAUUAAAAAGGAAGUAGUUUGCUUUACUCCUCAAAUAAUGCAUGGUGCUAAAACAAAAAGGAGGCAAAGCUCUAAAGUAAAACUAUUAUUAACAUGCAUGAAAGAAUCCAAAUAUAAGAAAGAAAACAAGCAAUGGUAUAAAUAACUUAAGAAUUCAUAAGCAUCAUUUCUAAACAGUCAGACUAAGUCAAGUCAUGACAACAGGCGCCAAGAUAAGCCAGAAGGUCAAGCACACUACUGCGUAGAAGUUCAUAUCAUGUUGUACCGCGAAUUUUGGAAAGCCCAAAGGGGCUCCCACCACAGGAUUUUUUUUUUUUAUAAUAACUUCGAUAAAGAAAGUAAUUUAUUAGAUAAAAUUCAAGAACCUAGACCAUGUUGUAUAACUGAUUUGGAGAGCCUAAGAGGGAUCCAACCUCUGGCCCCUUUUUUUUUUGAAUAACCUCAAAAAUUUCAGAAAUAAAUUAAAUGAAAGUCCAGCGGAAUGACAUAAUGAGCUAUACUUCUUAAGAUGAAUAAGUGCGAAAAAAAAACUUAUAGAUUACCACUAUAAGAAAACAUGCAAUAGAUGACAGACAGUUUAUGACAGAUUCAACUUAUAUCAUAAUAGUAUGACAGACUCGUGAUAGAAUUUUCAAUCUAUCAUGAAUUAAUGAUGAUUUUGUGACAAUAUUAUUUUCUAUCAUAAAUUUAUGAUGAUUUUGUGAUAUAAUUAUUGUUUAUCACAAAUUUGUGAUAGAAUCGUGAUAAAAAUUUUCUCUGUCAAGAAAUUAUGAUAAAAAAUUUACUUUGACUAUGUUUGACCUAAAGUUUAAUAUAUUAUUUUAUUUAAAAAAACAAAAGGGAGCAUUUUAAUAAUUCAAAAAUGAAAAAAAGAAAAAAGAAAAACACUACUGUCUUAACCCACCAAGCCCCAAAAUCACUAACACUCACACCCAAACACUCAUCACUCUCUCACGACCAAACCCUAGAGAUCAACCUUGCACUCAAUCGAUCGAGCAAAACACCAUCCUUUCGCCUCCAUUCAAGUAUAUUGUAACUAUGCCGGCAAUGUUGUUUAAAAAUUGUAGCUCGUUGCUGUCGGCACCAUUUUGCUAGUAGUAUUAAAAUGCUGGGUUUGUUGCUGCUGUGUUGCGCGGGGUUCGAGUGGCUGCUUCUACGUCGCGUGGGAGUGGCUGCUGCUACGUCGCGCUGCUGAUGCUGUUGGGUCGCUACUACAUUGCGUGCUGCUGGGUUGUUGAUGGGUGAUGGCUGUAAUUGUUGUAAAUUUAUGAUGAUUUUGUGAUAUAAUUAUUGUUUAUCACAAAUUUGUGAUAGAAUCGUGAUAAAAAUUUUCUCUGUCAAGAAAUUAUGAUAAAAAAUUUACUUUGACUAUGUUUGACCUAAAGUUUAAUAUAUUAUUUUAUUUAAAAAAACAAAAGGGAGCAUUUUAAUAAUUCAAAAAUGAAAAAAAGAAAAAAGAAAAACACUACUGUCUUAACCCACCAAGCCCCAAAAUCACUAACACUCACACCCAAACACUCAUCACUCUCUCACGACCAAACCCUAGAGAUCAACCUUGCACUCAAUCGAUCGAGCAAAACACCAUCCUUUCGCCUCCAUUCAAGUAUAUUGUAACUAUGCCGGCAAUGUUGUUUAAAAAUUGUAGCUCGUUGCUGUCGGCACCAUUUUGCUAGUAGUAUUAAAAUGCUGGGUUUGUUGCUGCUGUGUUGCGCGGGGUUCGAGUGGCUGCUUCUACGUCGCGUGGGAGUGGCUGCUGCUACGUCGCGCUGCUGAUGCUGUUGGGUCGCUACUACAUUGCGUGCUGCUGGGUUGUUGAUGGGUGAUGGCUGUAAUUGUUGUUUGGGUGUGUGAGGCAGUGAAGAUGUGGCUGUCGGCUAUUGUUUGUUGUUGCUUUACGGAUGGUAGGGUGAGUGAUUUUGGGGAUUUAGGUUUUUGGUUGUUGCUUCGCGUGAGAGAGAGGGCGGCUGAGGGAGGCAAUUUGGUUAUUUGGGGAUUUAGGUUUUUGGUUGUUUUAUUUUGCUUUGUUUUUUAUUUUCUAGUUUUUUUCUAUUUCAAUUUUUUUUUUAUAUAUUAUAAAGCCUCUUUGUAAAAAAAAAAACCGGUAAUAUAUGUUAACAUAUAAAAAACCAGUAAUAUAUGUCAUCAACUGCAGUGGUAUUCUUCUACACCAUUUUUUUUACAAUCGAAUUCCUCUUUUCAUCUUGGCUUCCGCUUGUGAAUUUCUAUCUAGUUCAUGCUUUUCCUGUUACCUGUGCUAGGUGGUGAAAUUUUUGGUAGAACAGAUGUAAAAGAACGUGCUGAUGCGGUUUCUUCUGUAGUUGCUCUUAUUGGGGUUGGUAAGAAACUUUUGUUUAAUAAGCAUGUAGUUUUGUGUAAAGACUAGUAAUAUUUUGGUGUCUACUUUUGUAGCCAACUAGGAUAAUGCUUUUUCAAAAUAAAAAAUACUUCCAGCCGUACUAUUGUAACCUUAAAAUGAUAAAAAGUAGUUGAAAAUGUUAAAUUUGACUUCAACUCUUCUCACAAUGGUCAAAAGUGUCCAAAGGAAUAUCCUAUAAGCAGCAGUUACUGCACUUUAGAGAUAGUCAUAUGGGUGUUGUCUCCUGUCAACCUAUUUGUCAACUUAGGAUGGUGUUCUUAAUUUCUGGUUAUACAAGAUUGAGUAUGUUCCUAAAAACUUGGUUGUACAACAUUGAGCAUGUCCCUGAAAACUACCUCUCCCACGGUUUGUUUAUUUAUUCCUUGUUGGUUUUCCUUAAACUAUUUAAUGCUUUGCAAUCCUAUUAAUACAUACUAACUACAUAUUGUCAACAUGUUUUAGGAGGUUCUAUUCUUGGAGUUAAGUUUCAUUAUCCCCUUGUCGGUUUAGUUAUCUCAGGUCUAAUCCUAAAAGCUGGACUUGAGACGGGUUAUCAGAGGUACAUUAUCUGUUUUCCUUUAUAUACGUACCAUCUAAUUUGUUGUCCACUCUGUACCUUCUUUGUUUUUUGUUUAUACUCAUGAUAGUUUCUAAAAAUUGUGGUUGUUUAGCCCUGAAGAGGCCAAAUUGCAUCCAGUCUUGAGUUUCCACUUCCUUUCCUUUUCUUUUACCUGUUUUCUUUGACAUUAGUUGUGGUUCUUUUGAUUUGUCCAUAAGAUUAUAGCAAUCUGACUUAUAUCAAAGUCUUUAUGAGUGGAUUUCAAAGCUCAAUCAACUCUCAUAAAAAGGCAUUUCCCUAGUUUUCCUGAUUGGAUUUUGUUUUGAACUAACAUGCACUUAUGUUUAUUCUUUGGUUAGUUCUUUGAUUCAAUUUUAUUGUACAAGAACAUACUUUUGUCCCCUGUAGACCAAUUGUAUUCCUUUUUUCUAUUUAUGGGGUGAUAAUCCUUCAAUUAUAACUUUUUUCAAAACAACAUCCAUCUUUGUUUUAUAAUUUUAAGUGCUGAAGUGAAACUUUUUUUUUAACUAAAAAACAAAAGAGUUCUUGAAUGACAUUAGAGAAAUUGUCUUUUGUGAUUUUACGAUGUAGUUCCUUGUUUAACGUGUUCUUUUGGGAUUAUUGUUAGUGUCUUGGAACUGGUGGAUGCUGCAAUCCCAGUAGAAAAUUUGAUGCCUAUACGAGAAACAAUACUAAAAGUUGAAGGAGUCAAGGUAUGUACUAGACUUUUUUGUUAAUUUAAAAUAUAAAUUGUUUGAUUUCUACCUGUGGGAUUCCAUAAUUUUAAUUUAGCACUAUACUUUCUUCGUCAGUUUUAGCAUUCACUGCUGAUGACGUUAAGAAUUUUUGUCAUUAUUAUUGCAUUCUUAGCAAACGAGCCUUUCUCUGCAGGGGUGCCACCGUUUGAGGGGAAGGAGGACAGGUUCACCUCUGUACCUUGAUGUGCAUAUUGUGGUAGGUUCUUUAGAUUAUUACAUGCUUUAUAUUUAAUAUAGAAGUUUGGGCUGGACCAUGAAACUUCAUCCAUAUAAGAGUAAUGAAUCUUAAAUAUGAUUUCUUCCCUAUGUGGUUUCUUUUAUCUGGCAGGUUGAUCCAUUUUCUAGUGUUAGUGCUGCUCAUGGUGUUGGAGAAAAUGUUCGUCAUCAAAUUCAUAAGUCCCAUCCGGAAGUAUCCGAAGUUUUCAUACACAUAGGUGUGUUUCCUGGUCUCUGGUCUCUGGUCUCAUCAUCUUUGUAAUAGUUUUGGACAAUCUAGAAUGGAGCUACUUUUAGUUGCUAUUUUCACUGCAGCCAUGAGUUUUUGGAUUGAAUAAUGCAUCAGUUAGUAUCUUGUUUCUUGACUUUUAAAAGUAAAAUGAUUUCGAGGUUUGGUGUUUGCACCUUCAGGCUCUGACAAACAUUCUUUUACCUCUUAAUAGUAAACCAGUGGUCAUUAAUUAUGAUGGUUGAGGUCACUGCAAGCAGCAUGCUAUUCAUUGUUGCUCCAUAUAUGAGAUUUUCUGAUAUUUUUUUUAUUAAUUAAUUAAAUUUGUAAUUAGGAAUUCAUCAAUAAAUUAUAAUUAUAAUAUAAUUUUAGAAAAAAAUCAAACUGCUGUACCGUACAUCCGCCUUGGCCGAAAAAAAUCAAAACUUUAUGAUGGAAAAGCCAUCAUAUAUUCUAUCAUAAAUAAUUUCCCGCCAAAAUUGAAUAAUAAAGUUUCAAAUAAUAAUUGAAUUUUUUCUCACUAAAAAAUUAAAAAAAUGGUGCGAAAAUUUAAAUAAAUUUAAUUUUUAAUUUAAUUAUUUUUUAUAUUAAAAUAUUAUGUGACAAAUAUAUGACUAUGAAAUGCUAUCGUAAAUUCAUGAAGGAAAAUAUUUUGUCAUAAAUUAAUGAUAGUGACAUAGAUGACGGAUGAACUGUCAUAAAUUAAUGACAGUGAUAUAGAUGACGGAUGAUCUGUCUGUCAUACACCUCCUUUUAUGAUAGUUAUUUCCCGUCAUCUAUUGUCUGUUUUCUUGUAGUGUACGGAGGCAAAUAAUGAAACGGAUCAUAGUAAGGGAAUUCAUUAGCAUCCUUAGAUUUACGCGCGAAACUAUCCCUAAAUCUUGUUAGCUUAUCUUCAUCGAUUAUCCAUUUGAACCGGUCCCUUCCGAGUAAAUAUCAGCUGUAUGAGAUUAAAGACGAUCCGAGGAACCUCUUCGAAGAAGAAUGUUGUUAGUCUUGCUUGUAGCAAAGACAUUCGAUGCCAAGAUGUUGAGAUUGGUGAAAUAAAUUUGGUGUACAGUGGAGUUGAUGAUAUGGGUCCAGCAAUAUCUAUUCGUUCAAAAUGCUAAACCGACUCUUAUUGGGAAACCGAUUCCAGCCUAUUGAGUCUUGGAUUUCCAAGACUCUUCAUUAUCUAUAUCUUGGAUUUUGUAUUUUCAUAAUUUAUGAUUCCACGCAUUCGAGGAGGAUGUCUAUUGCCCCAUUGAUGACCUGAAAUUGGCGUACUUCGAAAGAUAGUUUCUUGUCCCAUUCGUUCUUUGUUCUUCUCCAUUAAACUGCGAAUUAACAAAGGCAUGAGAAUUCAAGUGAGUUCUAUGUUGGAAAAUGAAUUCUUUAUCACAACGUUUCAGUAAAGCAAACACAAACACAGACCUCACCUACUGAAUUUAGUUAAAGGAUUAUUAUCAUCAUUGGGAUGGGGCUAUUUGCACUGUAAAAAAUACUUAUUAUUGUUAUUUUUUUGGGAAAGGAAAGGUAGGGAGUUUGAGGGAUGCACAAAUUUAUUUUAGGCCCCGACUUCCCAAAGAAUUCAAAGAUGGAAGGUCAGCUGAUGAGAGUCAUUUGAUAAAUGAAAACCACUAGGUCGAGUCAUUUGAGGCAUGCAACUUAUUUACUUCUUUUUUUUUUAACCUUAUAUUUUCCCUAAGAUUCGAACUUGAAUGGCCAGAUAAGUAAAGCAGCUUCAAAACCACUAUGCCAAGCCCCCUAAGGGUAAGCCGUGUCCUUGCUUAUUUCAUUAGGUAGAGUCAACUAAAUUUGCUCAGAUUUUUCACAAUUAAUCUUGUUGUUCUCUAGUUAUUAUUAAUUAGGUAAAUUUGAAUUCCUUUAUCUUAACAUAUUUGAAUUAGUAAUCUCGAAAGUUUCAGUUGGUAAUCUUUAAAAUAACAUAACUAUGUUUCCAUUUACGAAUGUGUAUAGACACAUGUAGGUGUAUGUUACGCACUAUUCCCUAUAAAUGUUUUGACAUUUUCCUUCUACUUUGUUCAAGCUUUAACACUACUAAUACAAAACUAAAAGGAAACAAAAAAUCGUUUUUUUUCUCUAUUGAAAAAAAGGGUAAUUGGCAUUGAGCCUCAGCAAGAAGGUGCAUGUUGUCAUUUGGUGGUUGGUUCAAUGCCAGGAAGUGGUUUGUAACAUCUUCAAUUCAGGGGUGACCAAAGAAGGAAGGCCUGCCAGAUGGUGAGUAACAUACACCUACAUGUGUCUAUACACAUUCGUAAUUUCAGACAUAGUUAUGUUAUUUUAAAGAUUACCAACUGAAACUUUCGAGAUUACUAAUUCAAAUAUGUUAAGAUAAAGGAAUUCAAAUUUACCUAAUUAAUAAUAACUAGAGAACAACAAGAUUAAUUGUGAAAAAUCUGAGCAAAUUUAGUUGACUCUACCUAAUGAAAUAAGCAAGGACACGGCUUACCCUUAGGGGGCUUGGCAUAGUGGUUUUGAAGCUGCUUUACUUAUCUGGCCAUUCAAGUUCGAAUCUUAGGGAAAAUAUAAGGUUAAAAAAAAAAGAAGUAAAUAAGUUGCAUGCCUCAAAUGACUCGACCUAGUGGUUUUCAUUUAUCAAAUGACUCUCAUCAGCUGACCUUCCAUCUUUGAAUUCUUUGGGAAGUCGGGGCCUAAAAUAAAUUUGUGCAUCCCUCAAACUCCCUACCUUUCCUUUCCCAAAAAAAUAACAAUAAUAAGUAUUUUUUACAGUGCAAAUAGCCCCAUCCCAAUGAUGAUAAUAAUCCUUUAACUAAAUUCAGUAGGUGAGGUCUGUGUUUGUGUUUGCUUUACUGAAACGUUGUGAUAAAGAAUUCAUUAGAGAAAACAGAAAAAGAAAGAAACUCAUAAACCAUAAGUUCUUAAAUUGUCAAUUAAAAUUCUUCUAAAUUGAAAUUGAUUUUAUUCAAGUCUUUAACUGGUUAGUUAUACCCAUAUUUUUGCAUUAAAGGUUUAAAGCUCAUUUUAUAAUAGUUUCUUAAUUAUUAAUUUUUUACAGUUUAAAUUAUUCUAAUUGCUCAAUAAAUAUCAAUAGAUUUUACACCACAAAACUUGAAAGUUUUUCACAUUAUUUAUCACAUAUUAUUCUUCCCUAUACACAUAAGUCUCCCACUUUCAACAGCUUUUUAUGAGUACUUUUUUCUUUCGCUUUCAGGCAAUAUUACAUCAUUGUACAGUCUAUGUAUUGGCUUUCAAGAUUUUAUCUGCUAGUUCAAAUUUCCAAAAUUGAAACAAGGGUUAUAAUGCCAAAGCAACAAAAAACUGUACUUUAAAACAGGAAAAACCAAAUAAUAUAUAAAGACGAGGUUUUCUAAUAUUACAUCAUUGUACAGUCUAUAUAUUGGCUUUCAAGAUCUUUUAUCUGCAAGUUCAAAUCCAAAAUUGAAGUUGAACGAGGGUUAUAAUGCCAAAGCAACAAAAAACUGUACUUUAAAACAGGAAAAAACAAGUAAUAUAUAAAGACGAGGUUUUCUAAUAUUAACUUGGCUUUCUUAAGGGAGAAAUUUUAGAAUAUAUCAGAGAUACCACGUCAGCCAUAAAAUAAGUAAAUGAUAUUAUGACAUGUGUGCAUUUUAUUUAAAAAAUCAUGUAAGUAGUGGUUAUAUUAAAUUCAACUACACAUGACAUGCAUACAUCAAUUGGUUGUAAUACAUUAGAGGUAUUAUUGAAUUUCUCUUCUUUAGGAUAUAGCUAACACUAACCUUAGUCCGCUUAAAACUUUGGCAUUGUAAUGCAUAAAGUGAAAAAUAAGAAGACUGAACAAUUAAAUUUGACUAAAAUGACGUAAUGCUAUUUUUUUUUUUAAUGUGAAAUUCAAUCAAGAACUUGAAUGAAACAAAUUUGAAUUGACAACGACCUAAGUAAUGUAUUUUAAAUAAUUUUAGGGUAAUUUCUUUCUACAAACGAGGACUCAAGAAACAAAUACCCUUAAAAUCAUCAUAUAUUUAGUCUAAAUCAAAAUCAAUUUUUUCUUUGAAUUUUUUUUUAAGACAAGGGUAGGUAAAUCCCAAAGUUUUUUUUUUCCACCUCUACCUACCAAUAUUCAAACUUCGACAGCUAACCAAAUAAAAUUGUUAGAAAACCACUCGACCAAGCCCCUUGGGCACAAUUUUUUUCUUAUUUUUUCUUUUUUCUUUUUUAAAGAUAGAGGGUGGGUAAAAUCUCAAUUGAUUUUUUAAUCUUCUAUAUCCCCGAGGAUUUGAUCUUGGGUGAUUAAUUAAAUAAAACUAUUUGAAAACCACUCAACUAGGCCCUCAAGGACAAUCAUAUCUUAAUUUGCUUAUUCAGUAGGUAGAAUUAUUUAGAUAUACUCAGAUUUUUUGUAAUUAAUGUUAUUGUUUUCUAGUUCUCCAUAAUUAGGUAAAUUUAUCUGUAUGAUGCUUGAAUUGGUAAUCUCGAGGGCUUAAGUUAGUAAAUUUCGAAAGAACAUAACUAAGUUUACAUUUACAUAUGUACAAACACAUACACGUGCUCAUGGGCAUGGGUGUUUUUUACGCGCUAUUCUCUAUAAAUAUCAUGAUAUUUUUCUUAAGCCUUGUUCAAGCUUUAAUAGUACUAGUUGGAAAAUAAAAGGAAAAAAAUCUUUUUUGUUGCAUUGGAAAGAGGGUAAUUGGCGCUAAACCUCAAAAAGAGGGUGAUUGUUGUCAUUUGGUGGCUGGUCCAAUCCUAGGAAGUGGUUUGCAACAGCUUCAAUGGAGGGGUGACAAAAGGAGUAAGGCUUGCCAGAUGGUGAUAACACCACAAUGGCAAUAUCACCUCUAGGGAGAGUGACAAGCUUACUGGCCUUCUUGUAGAUACCAGAUAUACGUUUGGAGAAUGUUAUCAUCCUGUCAUCUUUAUUCUCAAUCUUCUUCAUCUUGAACAUUAACUUCUCCAAAUGAUUAAGACAUAGAGGAUUGAAAAAGAGGAGACAGGGUGAUUACAUUCUCCAAACAUAGAUCCGGGAUCUACAAAAAGGCAAGUGAGCUUGUUACCCUCACUGGCUCUGAGAUUGGCAUUAUUGUGAUCUCACCAGCAAGCCUUUCUCUGUUUGUCAUCCCUUAAUUGAAGCUAUUACAGAUGGUUUCCUGGGUUGAACUAGCCAUCAAAUGACAACACUCAUCUGUUUGUUGAGGCUCACCGAAUAGGUGAGAAAUUAAUCAUUUGCAUAUAGUGAAAGUAAAAAAUUUGCAUGCAAAUGUACUUGAAGAAAGAGAAUCCAGCAGUGGCGGACCUGUAGGUGGGCUACAGCGGGUUAUAGCCCGGUCUUGGUUAGGAAAACAAUCAUUUAUAUCCCUUAUAUUUUCGUAAUUUUAUGUAAUAAUAGAGCUUUUAUUUUGCUUUAAUAAACGUUCCUAACUCAAUUACCCUUAUAUUUUCAUCAAUUUUAUAAUAUAGUAGAGUUUUAUUUUAUUUUUAAAUGUCCUUAAUCUAAUUAUAUUUUUUUCCAAUUGAAAUUAAUGACUUACUUUAUAAAAUGAUUAAAUUAUACACUUAUUGAAUAGACUGAAAAUAUUAGGGGGCUAAAAGGUUACUACUGCUUUAUUUUAAAAAAAUUAUAAUUGAAAAAAUUAGGUCAAAAUAAUAUAAAAUUAUUACUAGUACUAAAGUACUUACAAAAACAACGCAUAAUAGCAAUUAUCAACAUUUUCAUAAACUUUUUAUGUGAAUUUUGAUAUUUCAUUUAGUAGUUACAAUAACUAAGAGGAUAAAUUAGAAAAUAAAAUUUGAGUAUUUUGAGGAGUUUUUGAUAGAAGAAUUAUUAGCAUAUGAUACUUCAAACAAAGUCAGAGCGCCUACUAAAGAAAUAAUGGUACUUAGAUACAUUUUUAUUGGAUGAGUUUAGUUUAUUAUUGAAAUUUUGAUUAAUAAUAUAAUUAUAAUUUUAAAAGAUGAAUAAAUUUUGGUUGUUUAAUUUAUUUAAGUCUAAUAGUUAAGUACUUGACUUUAAGCAUUAAAGUUUUACAUUCGAUUUUUAAUUUAUUAUAAUUACAAGUAUUGAUUUAAUUUAGUUUAAAAUUCUUAAUUGAUUUAUUAAUCCUUAUAUAAUUACAUGUUAUUAUAGGUUGUAAUGUCGGAUUCCAUAAUUGAAAAAUAGUGUUUCCACAUUUACUGGAGUAUAAUCUGUUGAUAAUAGGUUUUUCCACAUUAACAUUUUUUUUUGCUACAAUUUGAAGCUGAAUAAAAUUAACAUCUCUGCACUUGAUGAUAGUCUCUGAAUAUUGAUGGAAUUCAUAUUGGAAGAUCAAAUGUCAUUAAUGUAACACAUUCAAUGAUAACCAUUGGAGAUGACUAUGUCUCUCUUAGUGAUGGCAGUAAAAAUAUCCUAUUGUCUGAUGUUUUUUGCAGACCAGGACAUGGGAAUCAUUGUUGGCAGCCUUGGAAAAUAUAAAAAGGAAGAAGACGUAGUUGGAUUGACAGUCAUAAAUUGCACCUUCACACGCACAAGUAAUAGUGUGAUAAUCAAGAUAUAGCCUGAUUCUCAGGCUGGAAAGGCUUUCAAUUUCACAUUUAAAGACCUUGUCACGAAUAAUGUGGAAAACCCACUGUGAUUGAUCACGAUUAUUGACCACACAACAAAAGUACCAUAAAAGUUCAUAAACAUUAACUCAUUAUGCAUUAUUUGCUUAUAUUUCUAGAUUUAUGGACGAAACUCAUCUCGAUAUGCUAAUGUUAGCUAAUAUUUCCUAAUUACCCAUUUUAAUAGGUUCCUUCAUAUUAAAUGAAGCCCAACACCAUCUUUCAUUAGAAAAGCCUAAAUUAAUAAGCCCAACUCAUGGAAGAUUCUAGAAGUAGGUAUGGAUGGUGUUAGGUCAUAGGUUUGGUAGGUGAAAUAUAUGGCUAUUAUUUUUUUGUAAUUUUUGUUUGAAUGGUGUAGAUUUAUUCUCAUGUAUUAUAAAUACUUGCUUGUAUCUUUUGGUUAGGCAUCAAGUGAAGAGUGAAGAACUAAAAUAGAGAAAGCAAAGUGAGCCAUGAAUGCUAUAGUAUCUUUCUCGUAAAAUAUCAACAAAGACCUUCAGUUUAGCAAAAAUCUUUUAUUACCCAAAUAAUUUUAGUUUUAAACAGUUUAGUCCUCCUCGGUUUUCAACAAUUGGUAUCAUAGCGUGGUUGGCUGGGGACCACUGUUGCACUAUUGCCAAAAGUUCAUAACAACCAAGGACUAUUGUAGAGAAGUUGUAAGAAUACAAUGAGGUCGAUCGUUAGAUAGUGAGGAGUUUAAAACUCCGUAAGUCCAUUGGUGGAGAUAAAGCUUGCCUAGUAUUGACAAAAUCUUGCAAUUACAAUGGGUGACCUUUAAGUAGUUGGAGGAGUCAAAAAACCCAGCAAAAAAAAAAAAAUUACAAUACAUAAGGAAUAUUGAUAGAGUCCUACCUACAAGGCCAAGACCUGUAGGAGAAUGUUUGCAGUAGAGAUUUGAAACCACCAAUUAAAGAUGUCGUUUUGAAGAAGUGGAACGUUAAAAGUAAGAAGGUCAUGUUCGCCAUCAAAAGUACAAUUGAAAAAGAGAUGUUACAACACAUAAAAAAAGGUUAAAACACUUAGGAGGCUUAAGACACUUUUGCAACGAGUUUUUCAAAGAAAAAUAACACACGACUACAACUUCUGUAGAAUGAGCUAUUGUUAAUUUUACAACAAAAUGUAACAGUAGACAAGUACAAUUGAAUAAGAAAUAUUGCAACACAUAAAAAAGACUAAAACACCUAAGGAAACUUGAGACACUUUUGCAAUAAUUUUUUCAAAGAAGAGUUUCACAGGGCUACAACUUCUAGAGAAUGAGCCAUUGUCAAUUUCAUAAUGAAACAUGACAAUAGACAACUACUUCAGUAAAGUUAAAUCCCUGUACUGUGAAAUUUCUGAGUUAGAUCCUAUUACUAUAAUUUAUUGAUAUAGAAUAAAAAUAAUUAUUAUCCAUGGUUUGAGGCCCCGAAUUUAAGAGCUUUGUUACAGCUAUCCAAGUUUGGCCAACCCAAUCAACCAUUGAAGAAUUUGAAAACUUGCUUGCUAAUUAAGAAAUGGAUGACAAGCAAAUGAAUAAGGCCUUAGUAAAGAAUGACAAGGACACACUCUUCACUAGUAAGAAGAGACAUCGAUUCAGACAAUAUAGUGGUGGAGGAUCUAAAUAAGAUGUUGAUAUGUUAAGAGGUCAUCAACAAGAAGGUAGCUCACAGACAUACAGAGAACAAAAGGAUUAUGGUAAUAAUGGCAAAUACAAGCCAAAUAAAAAGUUUGAAGGAAAUUGUUACAACUGCAGAAAACGAGGCCAUAUGGCGAAAGAUUGCUGGUCUAAGAAGUUAAGUUUUUCUUAAAUCCAAUAAGGGUUAUACUUGAAGUUAAGAUUUGUGAAGAACUAGACAUAUGUACUUACCUUGUAGGGUAGAGAGAUUAGAUGUUCAUAAUGUCAUACCUUAGGUAGAAUAGCAACUGGUCAUUAUUAGGAUACUUAAGGGUAUGAGAAGUCCAACACGCGACAGCUGAUGAUGCAAAAUAAUUCUGCCAGUGCUGUAGGAAUUAUUGUAGCAACUGGUACUAAUUUGAUGAAAAGCUCUCAACCCAUGAAGAGAGUUUGAUCACUCAACUACUUCAUUCUCAUUAGAUUCUUUUACGCAAUUUAUCUAAUUUAUUUCAUUAUUGUAGUUGUUUGUUUUAUUUGCUUACAAUUGUUCGUUUCGGUAGUAAUCAACUUUAACUAGGUUCAUCUUGAAAUAAAGGUAGAUUGCACUAUUGUGGUUGCUGUAACAUUUCUAGUAACAUCAAUCCAUGUGGAGACGAUCUAGAAUAUUCAUCACUUUAUUACUUGUUGUGUACACUUGCACAUUAGCAUCAAUAGCAACUGAGUAGAAAUUUACCAACAAGUUUUUGGCGCCGUUGCUGGGGAUUGAUUGUUUAUUUUCGAAGUGUGAAGUAAAUCUUGACAGAUAUAAUUUGUGCUAUUUAUUGACAGAUCAACACUUGCAUGAGCAAAGACAGAUCUAUUGUAUUCCAAUUUGAUCCUGAGAUUGAAAGGAUUGUAAGGAGACUGCGGAGAGAUUACAGAAAUUCAAAAAUUGUUUUAGACAUGGAUAAUCUGUAGGAUGUGGGAAAUUUGGACCCUCACGGGCCACUAAAACUCUGUCAACAUUCAAGAGGAGCAGAAUGAGCAUGUUAAUCAGAGACAGCCAGGCAACAACAAUAUUAUUUACAUGGCUGAUGACAGAGACAGGGCUAUCGGAGAUUAUGAUGUGUUAACUCCUUAAGUUGUACAUCCUCAAAUAGUCAGACCUAAAAUGGAAGCCGCAAACUUUGAACUUAAGCCAAUGAUGUUUCAAAUGUUGCAAACAGUGGGUCAAUUCAAUGGACUACCAACUGAAGAUCCUCACCUCCAUCUUAAGUUAUUUUUGGAAGUGAGUGAUGCUUUUAAAAUUGCUGGAGCAACACAAGAUGCUUUAAGACUAAAGCUUUCUCCUUACUCCUUAAGAGAUCGAGCAAGAGCAUGGUUGAACUCAUUACCAUCUGAUUCCAUCAUUACAUGGAAUGAAUUGACUGAUAAAUUCUUAAUGAAAUAUUUUCCACCAACCAAAAAUGCAAAAUUGCGGAAUGAGAUCACUUCCUUUCAUCAACUUGAAGAUGAGAGCUUGUAUGAGGCUUGGGAGAGAUUCAAAGAACUGCUCAGAAGAUGUCCUCAUCAUGGUAUUCCUUGUUGCAUACAGUUGGAAACCUUCUACAAUGGCUUGAAUCAAAGCACGAGAUUGAUGGUUGAUGCUUCAGCAAAUGGAGCUUUGUUAUCUAAAUCUUACACUGGAACUUAUGAAAUUUUGGAGAGAAUUGCCAACAAUAAUUAUUAGUGGCUAUCAACUAGAUAGAUGGCAGUAAGAGGAGCAGCGGGGGUACAUAAUAUAUAUGCAAUUACAGCAUUAUCAGCACAAGUAACCUCAUUGACUAACAUGGUGAAAGCCAUGACUUCUGCACCAGCAACAGUAAAGCAAGUUGUUGAACUGUCUUGCGUGUACUGUGGUGAAGAGCAUUUAUUUGACAAUUGUCCUGGGAAUCCAGCAUCAGUAAGCUAUGUGGGUAAUUUCAACCGGCCACCUCAAAACAACCUGUACUCAAAUACUUACAACCCUAGAUGGAAGCAACACCCAAACUUCUCAUGGAGCAAUCAGAAUCAAAAUGCUCUAGCACUGAGUGGACAGAACAUAAAUACUCAACCACCUGGUUUGCAUCAGCAGAAUCAAGGGCAAAAACACACCAGCCAUGAUCCACUUACUUAAUUGGAAACACUGAUUAAGGAAUACAUUGCGAAGAAUGAAGCAAUUGUGCAAAGUCAAGUUGUAUCUCUAAGAAACCUGGAAAACCAAAUUGGACAGCUUGCCACAACAAUGAGUAGCAGAUCUCAGGGAAGCUUGCCCAGUAACAUAGAAGAUCCAAGAAGAGAGAGAAAUGAACGCUGCAAAGUAAUCAACUUAAGAUCUGGAAGAAUGUUGAUAUUCCUGUUGAUGUGACUAGAAAAAGGUUGGAACUUAAUUCCUUACAAGAACCACCUCAAGAUGAGAGCAUGUUACAGCAACCCAGCCAUCAAGAUACUGAUGUUAGUGGUCAAGCUGCAGCAACUAUAGAAGUGAAUCAACCAAUAAAUACUGAAGAAGAAGUUGCAACACCAGCAAUUUAGGCAUCCACAUCCUUUCCCACAGAGAUUCCAGAAACAAAAACAAGACAAGCAGUUUAGUAAAUUCUUGGAAGUACUGAAGCAAUUAUACAUCAACAUCCCUUUUGUAGAAGCAUUGGAGCAAAUGCCUAAUUAUGUGAAAUUUAUAAAAAAUAUUUUGGCCAGAAAGAGAAGGUUGGGAGAAUUUGAAAUUGUUGCUUUAACACAUAAAAGCAGUCACAUGCUCCAAAGUAAGAUUCCUAAAAAAUUAAAGGAUCUAGGAAGCUUUACAAUACCAUAUUCCAUUGGAACUAGGUACAAUGGCAGAGCAAUAUGUGAUUUGGGAGCCAAUAUUAAUCUGAUGCCAUUAUCUGUAUUGAAGCAGUUGAGAGUAAGAGAAUGCAGGCCAAAAACAGUCACUCUGCAAUUAGCUGACAGAUCUCAUGCAUAUCCUGAAGGAAAAAUUGAGGAUGUACUGGUGAAGGUUGACAAAUUUAUCUUUCCAGUGGACUUCAUUAUAUUAGACUUUGAGGCUGAUAAAGAGGUACCCAUUAUACUUGGAAGACAUUUCCUAACAACCGGGAAGACUCUAAUAGAUAUGCAAAAAGGAGAGCUAACAAUGAGGGUGAAUGACCAACAAGUCACAUUCAAUGUAUUAGAGGCUAUUAAGAACCCUGAUGAGGCAAAAGAUUGUAAUUUCCUGAGUGUUGUGGAUUUUGUUGUAGCAGACAGAAUUGACAGAUGCUGCAGUAAUGAGGUCAUCAAGGUUGCCACCUUUGAGAGCUUUGAAGAAAAAGUGUUGCAGCAAACCAGAUAGAUUGGAUGGAAAGAAAACAAUCUAACAGACAUAGCAGAUUUGUUGAACAUCUAAAUCUUUUAGACAAGGAAGUAAAGACAACUUUACCAUCUAUUAAAUCACCUCAUGUUCUUGAGUUAAAAUUGUUACCCUCACAUUUGAAAUAUGCAUAUCUUGGUCAAAACAACACACUCUCGGUAAUCAUUUCAUCUAUUCUGGAUGCAGGUCAAGUACAGAGCCUGGUAGAUGUGCUUGGGAAAUACAGAAAAGUAAUUGGAUGGACCAUGACAGACAUUAAAGAGAUCAGCCCAUCUAUAUGCAUGCAUAAAAUUCUGUUAGAAGACUGCUACAGGAAUUCAGUAGAGCAACAGAGAUGGUUAAACCCCAUUAUGAAGGAGGUUAUGAAGAAAGAAAUCAUCAAAUAGUUGGAUGCUGGAAUCAUAUACCCGAUAUCAGACAGUUCAUGGGUGAGCCCAGUUCAAUGUAUUCCAAAGAAUGGAGGAAUAACAAUAAUAACUAAUGAGAAUAAUGAACUUAUUCCUACAAGAAUAGUGACUGGAUGGAGGGUAUGUAUGGAUUACAUGAAGCUCAACAAAGCCACUCGGAAGGAUCACUUCCCACUUCCAUUCAUAGAUUAGAUGUUGGACAGACUUGUUGGAAAACAAUACUAUUGUUUCCUAUAUGGAUAUUCAGGCUACAACCAAAUUGCUAUAGCUCCAGAGGAUCAGGAAAAGACUACAUUGACCUGUCCUUAUGGAACUUUUGCCUUCAGAAUGAUGCCCUUUGGUUUAUGCAAUGCUCCAGCAACUUUUCAGAGAUGUAUAAUGUCUAUUUUUUCAGAUAUGGUGGAGCAAACAUCGGAAGUCUUCAUGGAUGAUUUCUCAGUCUUCGAAGAGACAUAUACUGACUGUUUACACAACUUGGAAGAAGUUCUUAAAAUAUGUGAAAUGACUAACUUAAUACUCAAUUGGGAAAAAUGCCACUUCAUGGUGCAAGAAGGCAUAGUGUUGGGUCAUAAGGUGUUCAAGAAUGGCAUAGAGGUAGAUAAAGCAAAUAUAGAAGUGAUAGAUAAAUUGCCACCUCCCACUUCAAUCAAGGGGAUUAGAAGUUUCUUGGGUCAUACUGGAUUUUACAAAAGAUUCAUAAAAAACUUUUCCAAGGUAGCUAAACCACUAUGCUCAUUACUAGAACAUGACAAGCCUUUUCAUUUUGAUAAAGACUAUCUUCAAGCCUUUGGAAAAUUAAAGAAAGCUUUGAUCACUGCACCAGUGGUUAUAUCACCAGAUUGGACUCUACCAUAUGAACUGAUGUGUGAUGCCAGUGACCAUUCUAUUGGGGUAGUGCUGGGGCAGAGGAAAGAUAAGAUUUUCCACUCUAUAUACUAUGCCGAAAAAACUCUUACUCAAGCUCAGAUUAGUUACACCACUACAGAGAAAGAGUUGCUAGCAGUAGUAUUUGUUUUCGAUAAGUUUAUAGCUUACUUGGUGGGUACUAAAGUGACAGUAUACACAGAUCAUGCAGCCAUCAAGUACAUAAUCUCAAAAAAGGAUGCUAAACCGAGAUUAAUAAGAUGGAUCUUAUUGCUUCAGGAGUUUGAUUUGGAAAUUAAAGAUAGAAAGGGGACUGAGAAUCAAGUAGAAGACCAUCUGUCUAGUCUAUAAGCAGACGCAGGCACAUUGACAAAAAAAGACAUCACUGAAACCUUUCCGGAUGAACAACUGUUAGUAAUACAGCAGGCAGGGAUGUUGCAGCAAUUAGGAUCUCCAUGGUAUGCAGAUUUUGCUAAUUACUUAGUAAGUGGAUUGCUACCACCUGAGUUGAAGUUCCAGCAGAAAAAUAAAUUUCUUUAUAAUGUUAGAAGCUACCAGUGGGAUGACCCAUAUUUUUAUAAGUUAUGCUCAGAUCAAGUCAUACGAAAAUGUGUUUCAGAGGAAGAAAUUCCUCAUAUAUUGAAAUCUUGCCAUGCUGCAGCAUAUAGAAGAUACUUCGGUGGUCACAGAACAGCUGCUAAGGUUCUGCAAUCAGGUUAUUACUGGCCCUCUAUUUUUAAAGAUGCUUAUGAAUUUGCUAAAUAUUGUGACAGGUGUCAAAGAACAGGAAACAUAACUCAAAGACAUUAAAUGCCAUUAACGAACAUUCUUGAAGUGGAGAUUUUUUAUGUAUGGGGAAUAGACUUCAUGGGUCUUUUUCCACCAUCCUUUGGGAACUUAUAUAUCCUGGUUGCUUGGAUUAUGUCUCCAAAUGGGUAGAAACUGCAACAUUACCUACCAAUGAUGCUAGAGCAGUAGUGGACUUCCUUCAGAAAAACAUAUUUUCCAGGUUUGACACUCCACGAGCAAUUAUUAGUGAUGAGGGUACUCAUUUUUGUAACAAAGUAUUUACUGCAGCUAUGGUAAAAUAUGGAGUCAGACAUAAAGAAGCAACAACAUAUCACCCACAGUCCAAUGGCCAGGCAGAAGUGUCUAAUAGAGAGAUUAAGAAGAUCUUAGAAAAAGUAGUGAACCCAUCAAGAAAGGACUGGUCCUUGCGUUUACAUGACUCCCUAUGGGCCUACAGAACAGCAUAUUAAACACCACUUGGCAUGUCUCUCUACCGAAUUGUGUAUGGGAAAGCUUGUCACUUGCCACUGCUUCAACUAUGUGAGCUUGAUGAAUUACGCAUGUUCUCAUAUGAAAAUGGAAGAAUUUAUAAAGAGAGAGCAAAACACUGGCAUGAAAAACAUAUCCAACACAGGAAAUUAAUCCAUGGUCAACUAGUGCUGCUCCAUAAUACGAGGUUAAGACUAUUUCCAGGGAAACUGAAAUCUCGAUGGUCUGGACCCUUCAAGCUGCUUAGAAUCUACCCUCAUGGGAUUGUUGAUCUCUUAGAUGAAAAGACAGGCCAGGAAUUCAAAGUCAAUGGGCACAGAGUUAAGCAUUACAUGCAUUCAGCUGCAGAUUGUUCAAAGGAGGUCUUACUCCUUAGAGAACCAAGUUUAUGAGCACUCAAGUAAGGUCAGGCUGAAAGACCUUAAAUCAAGCGCUCAAUGGGAGGCAACCCAUUGCGAAGACAAUCACUUCAAAUGAGACGGAUCCUCCUUGGUUUUGUCAAAUAUUUUUCAUCUUAUUUUACUUUUUUUAAAAUUUUUUUAUUUCUUGUUAUUUAUUUUUGUUUCCCUUAUUUAGAACUAUUUAACUUCUUUUUUUCUCUUUUCUGUUUUGUUCUUAAAAAAAAAAUGCCAAGUCACGCACUUAUUGAAGUUGGAUUCAAUACUAACAAUUGGGGUUGUAUUGUUAACAGAGUACUGAGGCAAGCCACUUGUCAGCAGCUAUUGGAGGAGAGAAUGUAACCGUUGCUAGAACAAACAAUUGGGUGCUGCAACAAACAAUAUUACUGUUCAGUUACUUCAAGAUGGAGCCUCUCACAUACCGUUGGAGAUAAUAUGUGAUAGAUGGGUGGAUGGAUUUGGAUAGAAAUUGAGGAAGAAUAUUUUUGAAAUUAAUGCACUAAUUGCUCUUGCCUAUUUUUAUGGGAUAUGCUUAAUGAAUUUAAAAAAAUUCUUCCCUAAUUUAUCACUUUUUUUUUCUGGAUUUGUUCUCAUUUAAUUCCUAAUUCCACCUAUAUAAGGGCGUCAUUGUGCAUAUUGACCUCUAACACUAUUUUAUCUCCCCUUCGCAGUUACAACUCCAGUACUCCAUAACCUCUUCUUCUCAUUUUACUCUUAGGCAUAUUACCAUCGAAUUCUUACUGCUAUAGCAAUGCCAAGGUUCAAAAGGACAGCCAGCCGACUAAAAGAUCCCUCACGAUUCUAAAGUUACCAUGCAGAGGAAAAAUAUGAAGAAUUCAUUGAACCACGGAAGAUUCUUGAGGAAAAAAGGUUUCAGUUCCCACCUCAACCCACAGGAAUUGUGCAAUCAUUAUACAAUGGUGCAGCAAAGCACGGGUGGCUAGAAUUCUGUAACCACCCUCGAGACCCUGUGUUGCCAUUAGUGAAAGAAUUUUAUGCCAAUUUGGUAAGCCCUGGUCAGCAUAAUAUUUGGGUAAGAAACUCGCUUGUUCCAUUAGAUUAUCGAGUUAUAAAUGUUUUCUAUAAUUUACCUGCUGAAAUUAAUUGCGAGUAUGCCAAGUUGCUUGACAAAUUAACUCCGUAAAAAUGGAACAAAAUUUCACGACACUUAUAGUAGAAGGUGCAUCUUAGGCUAAUGAGAAAGGGCGUGUCAUUAAUAUGAUAGAUUUAAAACCCAUUGCUAAGGUGUGGGUGAAAUUUUUAAAAUCCAGACUUAUGCCAACCACCGACACCACUACUGUUUCACAAGAAAGGUUGGUACUAUUGUAUGUUAUUAUUAGAGGGCUUCCCAUAGAUGUGGGGAGCAUUAUCGAAAAUGAAAUUCGGGACUGUGCCAUGAAAAACCACAAAACAAUUGCCUUGCUAUUUCCUUCACUCAUCAUCAACAUCUGUGUGGUAUCGGGAGUUCGUCUUGAUGCAAAAAAUGAGCAUGUCAAGAAUGAUGGUGCCCUUACUGCACGCACCAUCGAGAGAAUUGCUGGUGAAGUUGCUGGAGCCCCAUUUGAACCAGCUGCUGUAACAGGGGCAAGACGAGUUAUUGGGUUAGAACAAAGAAUCCAAGCUCUGAGCACCAGUAUCAAUGAAUGUGCUGAAGCUCAGCAGAGGGAAAACAAUCGGUUUUGGAGCUAUUUGCAGCACUUGGACAACCACCUGCACCAAUUUGUUGUAUAUAUGAAACGUAACCACUGAGAUUUUCCUGAUUCAUUGCUCCAGUAAUACAAUUUUGCUACCAACACUACAGAACCUCCAGCAGCAGUCAGUGAAAAGGCUACUGAUACAAAUGAACCAGAAGAGAAAGCUACAGUAAAACCACAAGUAGAGGCCGAAUCAGAUGAUGAUGACCAUUCAGACCAGCAUGAAGAAGAGGAUGUUAAGUCCACAAUCGACAGUUCCCCAAUAGAGACAUAAAAAGAGCCUGAGAAAGAACUCGAGGAACCCCUAGUUAAGACCUCUUCCAAAUCCAGAAAAACGCACAUCAUACAAGAAGAGGAAGAUGAACCUAUAGAGGAACCUCUCAUUCCAGUCCUUUCUAUAAAGGGCAAAGAACAAGUAAUCACCCCUCCUGCCCUGACGUUGAAGCCGAGCAAAUUGAUGCAGAGUUGGAAGCUGCAGCAGCCAGAGUCACUCAUACACCCACAGAGACAAAGCAGCUGCUUGAUAUCAUUGCCGCCAUCAUAGCUGAGGGGCAGGCAGAUGAAGCCCCAGCUCCAGCUCCUCCACAGCAAACUCUCAGCAAACCUAUUCGUUCUAGUCCUAGUGGACCUAGCAAAAGAAAGGGAGGAACUUCUAGAAGCGUUGCUGCAGCAGCCUCACCAGAACCAAAAAGGACCAAAUUUGUUUCAACUAAGCAGGCUGCCCCAAUUGCAACUCCUCCCACCAGUCCAUUGUAGAAAAAGAAAAAGACGUUGCCAGCUACCUUACCACAAGAAUCCCCUAAGGAUAAGCUGCGAAGUGCAUCCAAAAAACGCUGAAGUCACUACACAAUGUGGCAGCAAUGUCCAAACAACAAGGGAGUAUCCCCUUCCUGCUAGUUAUUUUAUUUCUUUCUGAAAAACUUUUCUUUCGUUAAGUUUUCAUUUUCUGAUUCAUUCUACAUGUCAUUGUCUGGUUAUGUGGUUGUGUUUUAUAUGCUUGUGAGGACACAACACCAAUCAAGUUUGGGGGGGGGGGUUGUGUUUCUUUGUGUUUAUGCUUGUGUUGUGUGUUGUGUAAAGCUCUGUUAUAUAAUAUUUGUGUAUGGAUUUGAAAACCUAAUGAAGAUAAAUUGAGUGUUAUUUAGUGUUUAUGAGAAUGCCAAGUAGAGAUAGUUAUAGAUGGAGAGUGAAAUUAUGUCCUGACACUUAGACCUUGGUUGAGUUUUAUGAGAGCGCUGUAGCAAAGCCAAGAAAACUAAAAAGAGUAGAAAAUGUAUCAAGUUUGGGGGAAAAAUCUGAUUGAAUUGUGCUCAUUAUAAAAUAAAUUUAGCUCCAAUGGCUCAAGUUAUUGAGUAACCAGGGCUGAGUAUGUACCCCAUAUACAGACUUGAGUCCAAAAGCAACAAGAGUUACGAGCAUUAUUGUAGCAAUUGUUUAAAAAAAAAAAAAAAAAAAAAAGGCCCUCUGCUAGGAUAUUGAGUAGCUAGGUUUGUUCAUGAACCCCAUGUUCAACCUUGAGUUAAAAGAUAUCUUUAGAUAAGGCUAUGUUAUGAAUAUUGCUACAGCAACUCUGAUCUGUGCAUUGAUUGAGUAAUUUGGUGUCAUCAUAAUAAGUCAUCGACAUUCGCAUGAAAAAAUAAAUGUUGCAGUGAAGAGCGUUAAGUGUUCUUAGCACAGUUUGAGUAUAUGUGAAUAUAAUUGUGUUCUACCUUUGAAUUACAUGCAAUAUCUUGGUAAUGUUGUAGUACCUCUGGAACUUGAUCAAAGUGGCACACACACACUUUGGACAGAAGGAAGCUUAAGUCUAGAAGCUUAAGUCUAAAACUGAACUGCUAUGGUUAUUUUGCAUGAUUAAGAUUGUGAUCUGAGGGUGGACGAAUCCUUGCAAAUUUGAUGAAAGAGCUAAGUUAUUUGUUGCAUGAUUGUGUGCAUGAAGUGUUAGUAUGUUGUCAUUACUUGAAGACAAGUAACGGUUUAAGUUUGAGGGUGUGAUAACUCUAUAAAAUGAGAGUUAUUAUGGUAAUUUUAGACUUAAAUCAAGAUCACUUAGAGAGUAAAUUAUGUGUUUUUAUUGUAUUUUUGUUAAGUUUUGCAUAAACAUUCAUUUUAGUUUACUUUUAAUAAGUUUUGCUUGAUUUAAAGUAAUUCGUGCUCAAAACAUGUGCAUAAUUGUAGGUUUCUAGAAGUUUAUAAUUCAUAGAAGAGAUGUUGAUGCAGUAGGUUGGCAAAAAGGAGGAAGAAUAUGGCCAUAAAAGAAGUGAAACAAAACCUGGAGCAGUUCAGAGUUAUAGCCGUUGCUGGAGCAACCAUUACUGUAGCAAUCCUGGAACAACGACAGAGAAAACUGAGCGCGGGAUAUCUGCAGAAUUGCAAUCUGUAGUUUAUUAAUCUGACUCAUGCGCACCUUAGGCUUUUAUUUACCCUAGUUUUCAGUUAUAAAAAGGGGUGCGCAUCACAUAAAACGACGGCAAGGAAUUAACAUUGGAAAAAUAGAGAGGAAAAGAAGAAAACAAUCGGAAUUCAAGGGAACCAAUUCUGCAUCAGUGAAGAAUCCAGUAGAGUUAUUUAGAUUCAAUCUUCAUCGUUCUCUACUUGUUCUUUUCUUUACUCUUUAAUUGAACCGAUGUAUUUCAUGACCAAUAUUUUGUUAUUUGUUUUUCUUUUUUCAAAGUAUGAACUAAGUUUGCUUGUAGUUGAGUAACAAACAAUCUAAAUGGGUUUUUGAUUGUUCUUAUGAGUUGCUAUAUAAUUGCUGUAGCAUUUUACUCUAGUAGCUAUUAUUAUAAUCAUUAUUUCGGUUGACCACCCAUUUAAUGGUUCAAGUUAAGAUAGAGCCAAAAAAGGGUAUGUCUUAGUGGAUAUUAUUAGAGUAAUAUUUGAUCUUAAUUUAAGUUUCCUGGAUUAAGUUUUUCUUGAAUCUCAUAAGGGCUAUACUUGAAGUUAAGAUUAGUGAAGAACUAGACAUAGGUACUCACCUUGUAGGGUAGAGAUUAGAUGUUCAUAAUGUCAUACCUUAGGUAGAAUCGCAACUGGUCAUUGUUAGGAUACUUAAGGGUAUGAAAAGUCCAACACGCGACAGCUGAGGAUGCAAAAUAAUUCUGCCCAGUGCUGUAGGAAUUGUUGUAGCAAUUGGUGCUAAUUUGAUGAAAAGCAGUCAACCAUAAAGAGAGUUUGAUCACUCAGCUACUUCAUUCUUAUUAGAUUCUUUUACGCGAUUUAUCUAAUUUCUUUCAUUACUGUAGCUGUUUGUUUUAUUUGCUUACAAUUGUUCGUUUCGGUAGUAAUCAACUUUAACUAGGUUCAUCUUGAAAUAAAAGUAGAUUGCACUAUUGUGGUUGCUGUAGCAUUUCUAGUAACAUCAGUCCCUGUGGGGACGAUCUAGAAUAUUCAUCACUUUAUUACUUGUUGUGUACACUUGCACAUUAGCAUCAAUAGCAACUGAGUAGAAAUUUACCGACAAUGGUCCACACAAAGUGUCAUUUUAAGAUUUGUAUUAUGCCCCAAGUAUGAAGAAAAACCUACUCUUAGUAUCACAACUAAUAUCAUCAUGCAAUUAUGUCUUGUUCAAACCUCAAGAUGUCAUGGUGUAUCAAUAUCUAAAGAUCUCAGGGACACCUAUGGAAGGAUGAAGGUUAGAGUCAGUCUAUGUAUUGGCAGUUGAAAUUGCUUAUGUAGACAAUACUUAAGGGAAUGAGAUAGUAUAAUUAUGGCAUGCAUAGUUUGGACAUGUUAGCUAUUGCAUGUUGAAGAUAAUCAUGAACAAGUCAAUGCUCAGAGGUCUAUCUCAACUUGAUGAAAGAAUAGACAUAGUGUGUGCAAGGUGUUAGCAUGACAAGGCUCACAAACUCCAACAUGAUGAGUUGAAAUUUAGAGCAAAAGAAUGAUCAGUGGCAUGCAAUACAUGGUUGUUAGCCUAAAGGGCUAUACAUAAUGUAAUUUUGAUGAUAACAAACAUAUGUAUUAAAUGAUUUAAUAGAUAUUUUAUUUCACAUUUUCACAAGUUUUUGAAGGGUAAUAUUUAUGCAAGUGAAACAAGUGAAAUCAAGCUCAAGACACUCAACGGACAACGACGAAAUCAAGAAUAAAGUUUAGAGCUCAACAGACAAAUUAGUGCGAUAAAUUCUUGUAAAACCGGUAUGAUUUAAUUGAUGCAUGAUUUAGCAUUUGAGAAGCUCAAGAGAUUAAUUUAAUUAAUUAUUUUUCAUAAACUAAAAGGUUUUAUUUUUAUAAGAUAAAGUACUUUGUGGUUUUGAGUAAUUUGGACUUAAAUGCAAAGUUUUGAAAUCUUUGACUUUAAUAAGUAUUAUUAUUGAAUUUCAGAGUUGGACCUUUUUACAAACAUUUGAAAUGUUUUGGGUCAUACUAUAAUUUAUGAAUAUUUUGGACUAAAGUGAAAGGUUUUGAGAACUUUGAUAAAUAUGGGUAUUAUGUUGAAAAGGACUUUUUUUGCGAAAUAAUAAUAUCUUUGGGGCCUUAUCAUAAUUUUAAAAAGUUUUGGAAAGACAACUAUUAUUAAGAAAUUUUGAAAUUGGACAUAUUUGUAAACUUUUAUGACGUUUUGGGCAGUAGUAUAAUUAUAGAAAGUUUUAGGCUAAAGUGUAAUUUUAGUGAACAGUAUUACUAUAGCAAAAUUCAAAAAUAAUGGUAAUAUCAUUGUUCAUGAGCGACUAGCCAGAUAAAUCAAGCGGCUAACCGCUUGGGCGCUGGAAUUUGCCUAUAACGGCUAGUUUUCGGGCUUUAACUAUAAAAACUCAACUCCAACUUCAUUUUAAGAACUAAUGCAAGAAAAUAUAAGAUCAUAUAACAUAUAUUGAGCUUCCAAAAUGUAAAUCAUCAUAGAUUGAAUCAAUAUUGAGCUAUUAUUUGCAUAUCCACUCUUAAAGAGUUUUUUUUUCAUUUCUUAUCAAAUUGUGAGUGUAUAAGUGUGAGAAACACUUGGGGUAAAGAGAUUGGGGAGAUAAUCUCUUGAUUGUAAAGGUUCAUUGACACCUUGGAAGUCAAUUGUAAGAACUUGAAGCCUGGGGAGGUUUGGAUAGUGAAAUCCUCGAGCUUGGUUGGCUUGGAGGCGUGGACGUAGGCAUAUUGCAUAAUUUUUAUCAUUAAGGCGUUAGAUUGAUUUGUUGUGCGAAUUAUAUUGCAUAAUUUUUAAAAACCCAAUUCACCCCCCCUCUUGGGUUGCGUUACUUGCAUUUCAAUGGUCACAUUCAUAGAUGACUUUUCCAAGUAUAUAUGGGUCUUUUCUACAAAAUAAAAACCUAAUACCUUUUUUAAAGUUUGAGGAAUUUAGAGACAUAGUCGAAGGAGAAGUAGGGAAGAAGGUUCGCUGCCUACGAACAGACAACGGGGGAGAGUAUACAUUAGGGGCAAACCUAGGACUUCAUAUUAUCCCGAGCUAAACCAAAAAUUUUAUAUUUUGAAAUAAGUAUAAACAUUCAUAAGUAGAAAGAAGUAUUUCAAAUAAGGGGGACACGAAAAACCCUAUACAUAUGUACUCUUAAUAAAAAUAAUUAUACAAAAAGAGUAUGAAAUAAAAGACAAUUCAUAUAUUAAAACACUAUUUUUCAAUUAUGGAAUCUGACGUUACAACUUAUAAUAACAUGUAAUUAUAUAAGAAUUAUUAAAUCAAUUAAAAAUUUCAAGAUAGAAUAAAUCAAUACAUAACUUUUAUGUUUAAAAAGUACUUAACUACUAGGAUUAAAUAAAUUAAACAAUUAAAAUCUAUUCAUCUGUUUAAAUUUUAAAAAUAUUAUUAGUAAAAAGUUUCAAUAAUAAACUAAACUCAACCGACCAAAAAAGUAUUUACGUGCCGUUAUUUCUUUAUCAUGCACUCUAACUCUCUUUGAAAAAUCAGAUGCUGAUGAUUCUUCUUUCAAGAUCUCCUCAAAAUACUCAAAUUUUACUUUCUAGCUUAUCCUCUUAGUUAAUGUAACUAAUAAAUAAAAUCUCAAUAUUCACAUAAAAAUUUAUGAAAUUGUUAAUAAUUAUUACUAUCUGUUUUUUAGUACUAUAUUACAUUUCCAUACUUUUUUUAAUUAAAAAUUUUUAAAAUCAAAUUAAAGCAGUAAUAACAUUUUAUAGGCAUAAUGUUUUCAAUCUAUUCAAUAAAUAUAUAAUUUAAUCAUUAAUUUCAAAUAGAAAAAUAAUUGAAUUAGGGACAUUUGUGAAAACAAAAUAAUAACCCUAUCCUUAUAUAAAAUUAAUCAAAACAUAAGGGGUUUAAAUAAUUUUUUCUAGACCACACCGGGCUGUAGCUAUAGGUCCGCCACUAGUAGACAUCAGUUGAGUUCUCCUAGUAUUUUGAAGACUAUCAGAUAUGCCAUCGUUUCACUUGUGCCAAUAAUCCACAAUAAAAUAGCACUGCUGUACCGUACAUCCGCCUUGGCCGUACAGCAGACUAGUUGGAAAAUAAAAGGAAAAAAAUGCUAGAGGAAAUGAUGGAGCCAUUGUGAUGCAACUAGUGGACAGUGCUACAAAACACAAAAUGUGGUGCUUAACAAAGCAUCUUUGUAGUGGUUUUCAAAAAAAAAAAAAGCUACUAGAUUCAAAAGAAAUUAAAGAUCAAAUAAAGGAAGAAAUUGUCGAAAUUCACAUAAGUUAGGAAGAAUAUUAAGAUUCUGAUGAUCUAAGAGAUGAUGAUAUCAAGCAUGACGAAACGCAAAGUACUUGGAAGACAAGUGUUCACUAGACCCAUAUUGAAGACGAAGAACUAAGUGAACA